CCGCACAUCCCUCUCUUCUCCGUUCACCCAGUCGGCCACACAAGCUGCCGGUCGUUUCUUCUUCUUCUUUCCGGUCGUCUUCCUUUUCUCCUUCGGAUCGAAACCGCCGCGCCCAUUCGCUCACAACCGCCGUGCCUCUCCGCUCACAACCGUCGUGCCUCCCUCGGAAAGCAAAUCGUCGUCCAGAUCUGCAUCGCCGAGCCGUCUAGGUCCUCGCCGCCGCAUGUGCUUCACCCUUGCAGUUCGCCAUAACCCAGAUCCGUCGCUGCAAUCGUCGAUCGGUUCGUGAAGCAAGCCGUACGCGUCACCUUGCAGCAGUCGUCCAGAUCUGCGUCGUCGUGCCCAUUCCUUUCCUCUCCGUUCGUGAAGACCUGCUGCGCAAUCUCUGCCUCCGUCGAAGCCAAGCCCAGCCGCCGCCCAUUCCUUUCUCCUCCGUUUUCUGCACUGCCGCGCGACUCUCCGACCGCGUCUGUCUUCACCUUCGUGAAGCCGUCGACGCAUACAUCUCGUGAAGUCAUACACGGAUCCAAGCCGAUCUCUUCCUAAAUUACGUGUCCCUCUGCUCGUUGUAAGACGGAGUUACGAUUUGAAGCCGAUUUUCUUUUCCAGUUGAGUCGCAUUCAGUGUUGCUCUAUUUACAGCCGCUUGAUUCGUUCUUGAUUGUCAUUUUUGCCUCGCCGUGAACCAUUGGGCUCAUAUUUGGGUAAGAACAAGUUAUGGUUUUUGUUGGUUUCUUGGUUUUUGUUGAAUGCUGCCAUUGGAUUUAAUUGUUGGCGAAAUGCUUAAUUCUUGAAGGUACAUCUUGAUUCAGUGAGCGAAUCUUUGAUUUUCCAAAAGGUUGAAGUGGACUUGAUUUUCCACUUCUUGGAUAAGUUGUGGAAUUUACAUAUUGGGUAAUUUGAAUGGUUGAAACUAUUUAGAAAGAUGUUGAUUUUAUGAUUGAUUAUGUUUAGGAUUUGAUUCAUUGGAUUUAGUAGAUUGAACAACUUGCAUAAAAGUGAGGUAAGGGAUUUUAUUUUCUACUGGACUCACCUAUGCUUUUAAAUUGUAAUGUUAGUCACCUCUGAUUGAGUAAAUGUGUUGAGACAAUAUAUAUAUAUACGUAUGGAUGUAGGUUCGGUGUUGAAUGUAUACUGUGGAUGACUGAAAAUAUAUAUAUACACAUGGAUUGAAGUAGACUUGAUGUUGAAUGCAUAUUGUGAUUGUCUUGGAAUAUAUAUAUAUGUGUGUGGAUGUAGACAGGACGACAAUUGUAGAUUGUGUUUGUAUGAGAUGCGGAUGUGAACUUGUGAUUGUCGUUUAGACUGGGUGUACGUUAUACUAAAGUAUGACUGUGUGCUGGUGAACUGAGAGGCGUUAUGACUAUAUAGUUUGAUUGACUGACGUAUUAGUAUGUUACUGACAGACAUUGGGCUAAAGUGAGAUAAGUUGAGUGAAAGAACUUUAUAUUUUGAAGUAGCUGAAAGAUGGUACGAAUGGAUUGAGGGGAAAAAUUGUUAGCUUUUAUUGGGAUGUGUGCCUUGUAGGUGUCCCACGGGAUCACCAAUUAUUCUGCACCUUCAGGAGCAUUAGACUGAUAUGUGUUUCUGCAGAACACUACACUGAAAUGUACGUCCCUCAGGGCGUUAGACUGAAAUGUGCAUCCUACGGGAUCACAAGACUGCGACCGUACAGGGUGUCCCAAUAGAAUGUGGGAUCACAAGACUGCGACCGUACAAGGUGUCCCAAUAGAAUGUUAACAAUUUAUUUUUCCCCUGACGGGACCAGUAGAGGGUCUCUUAUUGGGUAUUUUUAUACUCACCCUUCUUAUGUUUAAUUUUCAGGCAAAAGUAAUAAAGGCGGCAAACCGGCGAGGGGCAGGAAGGAAGUGUGAUUGCCAUAGGAAAUGUGUUAUUUUGCUUCCGCUUAUUGUUUUUUUUAGGUUUAAGACGUUGUAUUGAAACUUAGCUUACAAACUUUUAUUUGUAAAUAGUACUUUUUUUAAGUUUUUGGAAUAUUUGAAAAUCAGGCCUGACUUAAAGUUGUUUUUCAAUUGGCUUACAUUUCAUUUUGUAUCAACCAAAGUUUUUGUCAAAAAUUAACGACCUCGACUUACCUAGAAAAGUUGGGUCGUUACAGUUGGUCUUUGUUUUUGUCACUUUCUCAAAUAAUAAAGUAUGUGUUCUAUGGACUUAAUUAUUAUAACUUAUUUUGCCACUUUCGCAAGUGUCCCUUAAUUGUAAUACAUGUAUAUGUGACAUAAUCUAAUCAAACUAACUCAUAAAUGGACUUAAUCGAUCUCAUGGACCACAAAUUCUUCAAUUACUUGCAAAUUUGGUGAGUUCCUUCAAACGGUGGGCGAAGAGCUUAAUUUUGAGAGAGAGGAAAAGUCGUGAAGAGUAUUUGCGAGAGAGGGGGAACGUCGCCAGAGAGCAUUUGCGAGAGAGCUAAAGACAGUGACGAUGUGGGAUGAAGUAAGGUUUUUUUCGGUCAUUGUUCACAAGUGGGAUGAAAGCUUCGAAUUAUUUGUUUUAAAUCAAAAAGCGUAUGAUUGAAGGAAAACAUUGAUUUUUUAUUAGGGUAAUUUUUAAUGACACAUAAUUUAUGCCAUUAUUUACGAUGCGAAAAUUUUGUCAAGAAAACUCAAUUUGUGUCACAAAAAAUUUUGUAUUUUUAUUUUUAACGACACAUUUUAUUCCCUCAUAUCCCUUUUUCUUGAUUUCAAGUGUCAUUAAAACUUAUAUUUCUAAAUAAAUUUAUUCGACGAAAGUGGCUAGAUUGGUGGGUUUGACGGCGAAGGCUUGUUGUGGGAGCAAUGACAACAGUGGUUGGAGUGUGGAAUCGACGACGGCAAGUGGCAAAAAAUUGGAGGGCAAGGGUUCUUCAUAACCACUUGGUAGCCCACUUCGAACUUUUUUGAAAUUUGAGGUUUUUUCAUUUGAAAAUGUUUUUAAUGAGAAAAAAAUUGUUAAUUAAUUACGCAAAAAUUGGUUUGAAAUAAAUUAAAUUGUGUCAAUAUGAUUGUUUUAAGAAAUAAUCCAUAUUUUUAUUUUCAACAACACAAUGUACCUCAUCUCACCUCUUUUUUCUUUUAUUUUCAACGACACAAUGUCUUGAUUAAAAUCCAUUUUUCUAGUAGUGACUGAAAAAAAAACUGGACAAAAUCAUAAUAUCUUUGAUAAUUAAAUCACCAGUUGGUCUCUUACUGGGUAUUUUUAUACUCACCCUUCUUAUGUUUAAUUUUCAGGCAAAUGUAAUAAAGGCGGCAAACCGGCGAGGGGCAGGAAGGAAGCGUGAUUGCCAUAGGAAAUGUGUUAUUUUGCUUCCGCUUAUUGUUUUUUUUUUAGGUUUAAGACGUUGUAUUGAAAUUUAGCUUACAAACUUUUAUUUGUAAAUAGUACUUUUUUUAAGUUUUUGGAAUAUUUGAAAAUCAGGCUUGACUUAAAGUUGUUUUUCAAUUGGCUUACAUUUCAUUUUGUAUCAACCAAAGUCUUUUGUCAAAAAUUAACGACCUCGACUUACCUAGAAAAGUUGGGUCGUUACAGUUGGUAUCAGAGCCUAAGUUUUAGGUUCUGUAGACUUACUUACGAUGUAAGUCUAUGUUUUAUGUCCCUUUGCCUAACGCGACCCUUCGUCUCUCGUCAGGUAUGCUUUAUGCUUAUAUGUAUGGUUUAUUUGCAUGACUUUGCCUAAAUUAAACUAGAUUGCAUGACGAUAAAGACUUGCUUAUGCUUAUGAUUAAGACUUUUUAAAGAGUGUUGUUGGUGGAUAAUAGGAAUUAUGCCGCCAAAGAGAGGUGUACGUAGAGGAGGUCGUAGAGGCCGGGGUAGAGGAGCAGGUCGUAAUCAACCUACUGAGGGUCAAGCUGAAUAGCGAAUUCCUACUGCACCCGUGACUCAUGUUGAGUUUGCUGCACUGUCUGCUCACAUGGAGCAGAGGUUCACGGAGCUUAUGACGGCUAUAGCUCAGAACCAGCAGGCACCUGCAGUUCCACUUGCACCUGUGGUUCCCCCUGUAGCAGCAGCUCCACCUGCACCAGCAGCCCCUCCUGCGCAAGGAUUGGCUGCACAACAGCCGUAGACAUUACCGAACCAACUUUCUGCUGAGGCGAAACAUUUGAGGGACUUUAGGAAAUAUGACCCUCAGACGUUUGAUGGGUCACUAGAGGAUCCUACUAAAGCUGAGUUGGGGUUGUCCUCUGUGGAAAUCAUAUUUAAUUACAUGAGAUGUCCAGAGAAGCAUAGAGUUCAGUGUGCUGCUUUUCUUCUGAGGGACAGAGGUAUUAUCUGGUGGAGAACUACGAUGCGUAUGCUAGGUGGAGAUGUGAGACAGAUUACCUGGGAUCAGUUUAAAGACUGCUUCUAUACCAAGUUUUUCUCGGCUAACCUUAGAGACGCCAAAAGCCAGGAAUUCUUGGAAUUGAAGCAAGGACAUAUGACAGUCGAGGAGUACGACCAGGAGUUUGAUAUGCUGUCGCGUUUUGCCCCUGAACUUGUUGGUAAUGAGCAGGCUAAAGCUGAUAGGUUCGUCAAAGGAUUGAGAGAUGAGAUUAGAGGCUUUGUGCGAGCACUAAAGCCCACUACCCAGGCUGAAGCGCUGCGCCUGGCAAUGGAUAUGAGCAUUGGGAAGGAUGAAAUUCGGGCAAGGAGUUUUGAUAAGGGAUCGUCGUCUGGUCAAAAGAGGAAAGCAGAGCAGAGAACUGUGGGAAUUCCUUAGAGGAACUUGAGAUCAGGCAAUCCUUUUUGCAGUUUCCAGCAGAGUUCUGGUGGGGCAGGAGACACUACUCGAGAGAAGCCACUAUGCAAUACGUGUGGGAAACACCACCUGGGUCGUUGUUUGAUGGGAACGAGAGUCUGUUAUAAGUGCAAGCAAGAGGGACACAUGGCUGAUCGAUGUCCCUUAAGAUCUACUGGGGCUGGACAGAGCAGUCAGGGAGCGAAACCUCCACAGCGGGGUACAAUCUUUGCCACUAAUAGAUCAUAAGCACAGAAGGCCUGCACAGUGAUGACAGGUACAUUACCAGUGUUAGGGCAUUUUGCCUUAACCUUGUUUGACUCGGGGUCUUCUCAUUCAUUUAUUUCAUCGCUUUUUGUGACGCAUGCAUGCUUAGAGAUGGAACCCUUAGAUUAUGUUUUGUCAGUGUCUACACCGUCUGGAGAAAUUAUGUUGUCUAAGGAAAAGACUAAAGCAUGUGAAAUUGAGAUAGCUGGUCGUGUGCUGGACGUAACCUUGUUGGUAUUAGAUAUGCGUGACUUUGAUGUAAUUUUAGGUAUGGAUUGGCUAGCUACUAAUCAUGCUAGUAUUGAUUGCUCUCGUAAAGAGGUUGUGUUCAGUCCCCCUACCGAAUCUAGCUUUAAAUUCAAGGGGGUAGGAACAGUAGUACUGCCUAAAGUAAUCUCAGCUAUGAAAGCUAGUAAACUGCUCAACCAGGGUACCUGGAGUAUUUUGGCAAGUGUGGUGGAUACUAGGGAAGAUGAGACUUCCUUAACUUCAGAACCUGUGGUAAGAGAAUACCCAGAUGUGUUUCCAGAAGAUCUUCCAGGACUACCGCCACAUAGAGAGAUUGAUUUUGCCAUUGAGUUGGAGCCAGACACUACUCCCAUUUCUAGAGCCCCUUAUAGGAUGGCUCCUGUCGAGUUGAAAUAACUGAAGGUACAGUUACAGGAGUUGCUUGACAAAGGCUUUAUUCGACCUAGUGUGUCGCCUUGGGGUGCACCAGUAAUUGUUUGUGAAGAAGAAGGAUGGGUCGAUGCGUCUUUGCAUUGACUAUAGAGAGUUGAAUAAAGUAACAAUCAAGAACAGAUAUCCUUUACCUAGAAUCGAUGAUUUGUUCGAUCAGUUACAGGGAGCCACGGUGUUCUCUAAGAUUGACUUACGGUCAGGUUAUCACCAGUUGAGGAUUAGAGACCGUGAUAUUCCUAAGACUGCUUUUCGUUCGAGGUACGGACAUUAUGAAUUCAUAGUAAUGUCUUUUGGUUUGACUAAUGCACCUGCAGUAUUUAUGGAUUUGAUGAACAGGGUGUUUAAGGAUUUCUUAGACACUUUUGUGAUAGUCUUCAUUGAUGAUAUUUUGGUUUAUUCAAAGACUGAGGCCGAACAUGAGGAACACUUACAUAAAGUGUUAGAGACUCUUCGAGUCAAUAAACUUUAUGCUAAAUUCUCUAAGUGCGAAUUUUGGUUGAAGCAGGUGGCUUUUCUUGGUCAUGUGGUUUCCAGUGAGGGAGUUUCUGUAGACCCUGCAAAGAUAGAAGCGGUUACCAGUUGGUCUCGACCCUCUACAGUUAGUGAGGUUCGUAGUUUUCUGGGUUUAGCAGGGUACUACCGGAGGUUUGUGGAGGAUUUUUCACGUUUGGCUACUCCCUUGACUCAGUUGACAAGGAAGGGAACUCCGUUUGUUUGGAGUCCAGCUUGCGAGGAUAGUUUUCAGAACCUUAAGCAAAGGUUAGUUACUGCACCGGUCCUUACAGUACCAGAUGGAUCCGGAAGUUUUGUGAUUUACAGUGAUGCUUCCAAGAAAGGACUGGGUUGUGUUUUGAUGCAGAAAGGUAAGGUGGUUGCUUAUGCCUCUCGUCAGUUGAAGAGUCACGAGCAGAACUACCCCACACAUGAUUUGGAGUUGGCAGCAGUGGUUUUUGCAUUGAAGAUAUGGAGACAUUAUUUGUACGGUGAAAAGAUACAAAUCUUUACUGACCAUAAGAGACCUGAAGUACUUCUUCACUCAGAAGGAGUUGAAUAUGAGACAGCGAAGGUGGCUCGAGUUGGUAAAGGAUUAUGACUGUGAGAUAUUGUACCAUCCUGGUAAGGCGAAUGUGGUGGCUGAUGCUCUUAGUAGAAAAGUAUCACAUUCGGCAGCACUCAUUACUAAACAGGUACCAUUACAUCGAGACUUGGAGAGAGCUGAGAUUGUAGUAUCUGUGGGGAGAGUCACCUCACAGUUAGCUCAAUUAACGGUGGCAACUGACUCUGAGGCAGAAAGAUUGUUGAUGCUCAGAGUAAUGAUCCUUAUUUGAUGGAAGAGACGUCGCCUUGUUGGAACAGAGCAGACUGAUGAGUUCUCCAUAUCCUCUGAUGGUGGAUUGAUGUUUGAGAGACGUUUGUGUGUGCCAGCGAACAGUGCAGCUAAGAUUGACUUACUAGAUGAAGCCCAUAAUUCUUCAUUUUCCAUGCAUCCUGGUAGUACGAAAAUGUAUCAGGAUCUAAAACGAUUUUAUUGGUGGCGGAAUAUGAAAAGGGAAGUGGCGGAAUUCGUUAGUAAGUGUCUAGUAUGUCAGCAGGUUAAGGCACCUAGACAGAAACCAGCAGGUUUGUUACAACCUUUAAGUGUGCCAGAGUGGAAGUGGGAGAAUGUGUCGAUGGAUUUUAUUUCAGGGCUGCCUAAGACCCUGAAGGGUUUCACAGUGAUUUUUGGUUGUGUAGACAGGCUUACGAAAUCGGCACAUUUUGUACCAGGGAAAUCCACUUAUACUACUAGUAAGUGGGCACAGUUGUAUUUAACUGAGGUUGUGAGACUGCAUGGAGUGCCUGUAUCGAUUGUUUCUGACAGGGAUGCACGGUUUACUUCCAAGUUUUGGAAGGGACUUCAGACUGCUAUGGGUACGAGAUUAGAUUUCAGUACAGCCUUUCAUCCACAGACUGAUGGUCAAACUGAACGUUUGAACCAAGUUUUAGAGGAUAUGCUACGAGCUUGUGUUCUAAGAGUUUCCAGGUAGUUGGGACUCUCAUCUACAUUUGAUGGAGUUUGCUUAUAACAACAGUUUCCAGGCUACCAUCGGUAUGACACCAUUUGAGGCUUUGUAUGGUAAAUGUUGUAGAACCCCUAUUUGUUGGAGUGAGGUUGGUGAACAGAGGUUGAUGGGACCUAAAUUAGUUCGGUCUACUAAUGAGGCUAUUCAAAAGAUUAGAGCACGUAUGCAAACAGCGCAGAGUAGACAAAAGAGUUAUGCAGAUGUACGGCGAAAAGACCUUAAGUUUGAUGUGGGAGAAAAGGUAUUCUUGAAGGUAGCACCUAUGAAGGGUGUUAUGCGUUUUGAGAAGAAAGGGAAGUUAAGUCCUCGUUUUGUUGGACCAUUUGAGAUCUUAGAGAGGGUUGGUGUUGUGGCGUAUCGCUUGGCAUUACCACCAUCACUCUCUGCAGUCCAUAAUGUUUUCCAUGUUUCGAUGUUGUUGAGGAAGUAUGUGGCCGAUACAUCUCAUGUCGUGGACUAUGAACCCUUGGAGAUUGAUGAGCAUUUGAGCUAUGUAGAACAACCUGUGGAGAUUCUGGCUAGAGAGGUAAAGAUGCUUCGUAAUAGAAGCAUUCCAUUAGUAAAGGUUUUGUGGCGGAAUCAUCGAAUUGAAGAGGCGACAUGGGAGCGAGAAGAAGAGAUGAGGACUCGUUAUCCAGCGUUAUUUCAGGAUUAGAACUUUCGCCUUAAGGAGGAAAGAAUGUAACGCCCCAAACUCGAAGGUAUUUUAUUUUAAGAGAUUUUUUCGAUUUGUACCAGAUUUAUUGUUUUGAAGAAAAUAUGUUGAAGGGGGGAAAGAAGAUUUGAAAAUGUGAUAAUACAAUUAUAUAUAUAUUUAUUUAUAUAUUUAGUUUUAUUAUUUAGUUUAAAUAAAAGAAAAGAAAAAGAAAUUUUAUUAUAUAUAUAUUUAUUUAUAUUUUAGUUUUAUUUUUAUUAUUUAAAUAAAAGAAAAGAAAAAAGAAAAUUUUUCCUUCCUUCUUCCUCCCGUGCGUCCUCCAUCCCUUUCUCCUUCCCGUACCCUAGCAUCCGCACAUCCCUCUCUUCUCCGUUCACCCAGUCGGCCACACAAGCUGCCGGUCGUUUCUUCUUCUUCUUUCCGGUCGUCUUCCUUUUCUCCUUCGGAUCGAAACCGUCGCGCCGUCGCUUGUGCUUCACCCUUGCAAUUCGCCAUAACCCAGAUCCGUCGCUGCAACCGUCGGCCGGUUCGUUAAGUGUCGUACGCGUCACCUUGCAGCAGUCGUCCAGAUCUGCGUCGCCGUGCCCAUUGCUUUCCUCUCCAUUCGUGAAGCCCUGCUGCGCAAUCUCUGUCUCCGUCGAAGCCAAGCCCAGCCGCCGCCCGUUCCUUUCUCCUCCGUUUUCUGCACUGCCACGUGACUCUCCGACCGCGUCUGUCUUCACCUUCGUGAAGCCGUCGACGCAUACAUCUCGUGAAGUCAUACACGGAUCCCAGUCGAUCUCUUCCUAAAUUACGUGUCCCCUAUCAAGUCGACGUUCUUGUGCUCGUUGUAAGACGGAGUUACGAUUUGAAGCCGAUUUUCUUUUCCAGUUGAGUCGCAUUCAGUGUUGCUCUAUUUACAGCCGCUUGAUUCGUUCUUGAUUGUCAUUUUUGCCUCGCCGUGAACCAUUGGGCUCAUAUUUGGGUAAGAACAAGUUAUGGUUUUUGUUGGUUUCUUGGUUUUUGUUGAAUGCUGCCAUUGGAUUUAAUUGUUGGCGAAAUGCUUAAUUCUUGAAGGUACAUCUUGAUUCAGUGAGCGAAUCCUUGAUUUUCCAAAAGGUUGAAGUGGACUUGAUUUUCCACUUCUUGGAUAAGUUGUGGAAUUUACAUAUUGGGUAAUUUGAAUGGUUGAAACUAUUUAGAAAGAUGUUGAUUUUAUGAUUGAUUAUGUUUAGGAUUUGAUUCAUUGGAUUUAGUAGAUUGAACAACUUGCAUAAAAGUGAGGUAAGGGAUUUUAUUUUCUACUGGACUCACCUAUGCUUUUAAAUUGUAAUGUUAGUCACCUCUGAUUGAGUAAAUGUGUUGAGACAAUAUAUAUAUACGUAUGAAUGUAGGUUCGGUGUUGAAUGUAUACUGUGGAUGACUGAAAAUAUAUAUAUACACAUGGAUUGAAGUAGACUUGAUGUUGAAUGCAUAUUGUGAUUGUCUUGGAAUAUAUAUAUAUGUGUGUGGAUGUAGACAGGACGACAAUUGUAGAUUGUGUUUGUAUGAGAUGCGGAUGUGAACUUGUGAUUGUCGUUUAGACUGGGUGUACGUUAUACUAAAGUAUGACUGUGUGCUGGUGAACUGAGAGGCGUUAUGACUAUAUAGUUUGAUUGACUGACGUAUUAGUAUGUUACUGACAGACAUUGGGCUAAAGUGAGAUAAGUUGACUGUUAGAACGUUGAGUGAAAGAACUUUAUAUUUUGAAGUAACUGAAAGAUGGUACGAAUGGAUUGAGGGGAAAAAUUGUUAGCUUUUAUUGGGAUGUGUGCCUUGUAGGUGUCCCACGGGAUCACCAAUUAUUCUGCACCUUCGGGAGCAUUAGACUGAUAUGUGUUUCUGCAGAACACUACACUGAAAUGUACGUCCCUCGGGCGUUAGACUGAAAUGUGCAUCCUACGGGAUCACAAGACUGCGACUGUACAGGGUGUCCCAAUAGAAUGUUAACAAUUUAUUUUUCCCCUGACGGGACCAGUAGAGGGUCUCUUACUGGGUAUUUUUAUACUCACCCUUCUUAUGUUUAAUUUUCAGGCAAAGGUAAUAAAGGCGGCAAACCGGCGAGGGGCAGGAAGGAAGUGUGAUUGCCAUAGGAAAUGUGUUAUUUUGCUUCCGCUUAUUGUUUUUUUUAGGUUUAAGACGUUGUAUUGAAACUUAGCUUACAAACUUUUAUUUGUAAAUAGUACUUUUUUUAAGUUUUUGGAAUAUUUGAAAAUCAGGCCUGACUUAAAGUUGUUUUUCAAUUGGCUUACAUUUCAUUUUGUAUCAACCAAAGUCUUUUGUCAAAAAUUAACGACCUCGACUUACCUAGAAAAGUUGGGUCGUUACAGUUGGUCUUUGUUUUUGUCACUUUCUCAAAUAAUAAAGUAUGUGUUCUAUGGACUUAAUUAUUAUAACUUAUUUUGCCAUUUUCGCAAGUGUCCCUUAAUUGUAAUACAUGUAUAUGUGACAUAAUCUAAUCAAACUAACUCAUAAAUGGACUUAAUCGAUCUCAUGGACCACAAAUUCUUCAAUUACUUGCAAAUUUGGUGAGUUCCUUCAAACGGUGGGCGAAGAGCUUAAUUUUGAGAGAGAGAAAAGUCGUGAAGAGUAUUUGCGAGAGAGGGGGGAACGUCGCCAGAGAGCAUUUGCGAGAGAGCUAAAGACAGUGACGAUGUGGGAUGAAGUAAGGUUUUUUUCGGUCAUUGUUCACAAGUGGGAUGAAAGCUUCGAAUUAUUUGUUUUAAAUCAAAAAGCGUAUGAUUGAAGGAAAACAUUGAUUUUUUAUUAGGGUAAUUUUUAAUGACACAUAAUUUAUGCCAUUAUUUACAAUGCGAAAAUUUUGUCAAGAAAACUCAAUUUGUGUCACAAAAAAUUUUGUAUUUUUAUUUUUAACGACACAUUUUAUUCCCUCAUAUCCCUUUUUCUUGAUUUCAAGUGUCAUUAAAACUUAUAUUUCUAAAUAAAUUUAUUCGACGAAAGUGGCUAGAUUGGUGGGUUUGACGGCGAAGGCUUGUUGUGUGGAGCAACGACAACAGUGGUUGGAGUGUGGAAUCGACGACGGCAAGUGGCAAAAAAUUGGAGGGCAAGGGUUCUUCAUAACGACUCGGUAGCCCACUUCGAACUUUUUUGAAAUUUGAGGUUUUUUCAUUUGAAAAUUUUUUUAAUGACAAAAAAAUUGUUAAUUAAUGACGCAAAAAUUGUUUUGAAAUAAAUUAAAUUGUGUCAAUAUGAUUGUUUUAAGAAAUAAUCCAUAUUUUUAUUUUCAACAACACAAUGUACCUCAUCCCACCUCUUUUUUCUUUUAUUUUCAACGACACAAUGUCUUGAUUAAAAUCCAUUUUUCUAGUAGUGACUGAAAAAAAAACUGGACAAAAUCAUAAUAUCUUUGAUAAUUAAAUCACCAGUUGGUUUGAACAUAUAUAAUCUUGGAUCUAUUCUAUUAUGAUAUGACCAUGGUACAUCAUGAACAUACAUUGACUAAAAAACUUAAAUUGAUGAGUGAAUGUAAUAAAUUUAAUAUUAAUUAUAUGAUCAAUACUUUACACAUGUAUAUUGGUAUAUCAGUCAAUAACAGUAGUAAGACAAAUUAUAAAAUAUAAGGGAUAAAAGUCCUACACAUGCAUGUAUGGUAUACUCUCUUGAUAGCAAAAUGCAUUUAUGUCAACUCAUGUUUGAAUGCAUUUAUGUAGGAAAUUCAAUAAAAUAAUUAAGAAACCUUGCAAUAUGUGAGAGAUAUACGAACUUCAAACAAAUUUUACAAGUUUCAGCAAAAAUUUUCAAACAACUUUUAAAGUUUAAGCAAAAAGUAACCGUAGGUAGGAAGGGGAGCAAAAGUGGGGUCUCGAAUUAAUUCUGAAAAAUUAGUAGGCUUUCAAAAUUUAGGUUCUAGAAGUAGAAUUAUUGCAGAAAAAUAAAUAAUUGCAUCAUUCAAAUUGAAUCAAACAUAUCAGGAUGUUAUAUUCUCCACAACGUAUAAUGGAGUAUAAACAUAAAGUUUCUAUAUACAAAGCUAUGUAUCUCUACCCUUGACUUCUCUUUCUCUCUUUCUACCUUUUUUAUCCUUUCUUUCUCCCAUUCACUCAAUACACUUGCAAGAACCUUCAUUUUUUUUGUAUUUAAAUUUUCUUGGCACCAUCCUUUUUUUAAUUAUCAAGGCUUUGUUAUUGUGUACCAGUAUUGUGUCGUGCCUCCUUCACUUCUCAUCAUCAUUUUCAUGUCACAUCUCUACCUUGUCAAUUUUCGUUUUUCACUCAGCUUUCUUUCUUCUUUUGUCUUCACUACUUUCUUCGCUCCUUCUUCUCAAGCUCUAACUUUUGCUAUUAUCAACCAGUCUCAAAUGACCAUUGGAAAACCUAUCGCCCACUGAGAGGCAGCCAAUAUAGUAAUGCCUCUAAUGAUAAACUCCAAUGAAAUCAAAAGUUCUUCUUUAAGAUUUGGAAAAAUAUAUUAGAUAAACUCGGACGUGGUGAACGCGGUGAACGCAGACGUGGUGAACGCGGACGGACGGACGGUGAACACGGCAGAAGUUAGAGAUCCUCAGAGAGAACUUGGCAUUUUCGAAUGCGGUAGAGACAAGUCUAGGGCUUCGAAGGAUUCUUCUUUCUAUCCAAACAGUCCAAAGUAAGCCAGUUAUGGAGGGAGGAAUACACAUUAGAGAGCUCAGUUAUGGAUGGAGGAAUACACAACUUUUUCUCAUGGUCAUUUUCCUCGUGGGCAUUCUCUUCAUGUUUCUUCUUAUUCCGACUAAAAUACAAGCACAAAUUAUUCUUCGCCUUCGUAUAGGUUUGUUUGAAGAAGAUUAAAAAAGUCCUUAAUUUAUCUCGACACUUCCAAAACCAGAAUAUAAUACCCGUGCUACAUAAAUCCCUCUUUCCAAAUAGUCGAACAUGAACUAUCCAUGCAUAUCUUGGAAUAAACAAGAGAAACCCUAACUAAACCCAAAUAGAAAAUACGUUGCAAUCUAAAAUAUACUUAAAGAAACAAAAAGAAGUUUUAAUGCUGUGGGUUUUUUACUGAUCUUCUUCAACAACAAAAUAACUCAACGCCACACUUCAAUUUUUCCUUCCACGAAUUGGGCUUUUAAAGAGUUUUCACCACGAAUUUAUCUUUUUUGGUUCGACAAGUAACAACAUGUGAAUCCCCAAAUGCAAGGUUUUAUUAAAAAUUUAAAAUAUAAUUUUUUUAAAAAAAUUAUAAUACCUAAAAAUAUAUUUUUUUUAUAUUUAUAACCUAAUUUUCUGUCAUUGCAUACUUGAGAGAAAUAUAUUUUUCAAUUAGCAUAAUAACCUUUAUAUAGUAAAUUAAAUUUGUAGAAUGAGAAAAGACCUUAGAUCCAAAAAAGUUAUUUAUUUAUUAUUGGAGUGAAUUGUCUAAUUAAUGUAGUUAAUGGAUGGUUUUGUAACCAUAAAAAAAUAAUGAAAAUAAUUUUCUAAAAGAAUGAAUGAAAAUUUGGAAAGUUAAAAGGUUUUAGGAAUUAAAAAAAAGGGUGUAACAUUAUAAAAGACUACCAAAUAUACUGUAAGAGACAUGCAUUAAAGGAGCUGAGGCAUGCAUACUACCAAAUAUACUAUAAAUAAACCAGAAUUCUUUUUUAAGAAAUUAAACAACUAAUUAAAUAUAAAGAAGAAAGAUUAGAAAAUGAAUGAUCAAACAAACUAUGACUCAUUUAUUUUUGACAGGUUCGGCCAGUAUCACCUAACAAUUCAUUUUCACCAAGAGAAUAAACAUGAGUAGCCUUGGAAUCAAGUUCCUCCGAUAAAAGCCACGGAGUUGAUGGGUUAGAGACAGAACCAGAAUUUGAGUUCAACGAUGUGGAUGCAAAAUUUUGAAACUAGCAGCAACAUGAAGUUAAGACAACGAAUUAUUUUCAAUAUAGAAAGGCUAAUUGUAAGAAGUUGUUAAUGAAGUGUCCAAAUGCAUUAUGGUAAUAUUGGGUGCAGAAUGUUUGGAAGUUUUAUCCGUGUGCUGUGUGAAGCACCACAGAGUUGAAGCAUAUGAAACCUGUGUUUAUCUGACAAAAAAUAGUGUCAUGAUCAUUGCCUUUCCAUUCCAUAAAUUUAUGGAUAGCAGAAGAAAGAGAACUCUCAACACUUGAAUCACCAUAUAGCACUCUACAUCCAGGUGGUGCCUUGAUUUUUGAAGAUUUAGUUAAAAGCAGUGAUAAAAUUGGUACAGAAAUUACAGUGCAUUUCUCGAUAUGCAACAACAUUAAGAGCAACUUAAAGACAACAAUCAUCAAGAAAUCUAGUAUUUAAAAUGUACAAAGAGCAGUAGUAAACAUAUGUAUUUUAUGGCUGACUUUAUCCAUAAUAAAUGUUGGAUUAAAUCAUCAAAAUAAAACACAAAUAGAUAAUUAUCGAGUUUUUCAAUGGAGGAUAGAGAGGAAGACAUGCAUGCACAACUACUAGAUCUAUAUGGUGCCAGACUGCCAGUAAAAAUUUAAAGACACACAUGACAACAUUAUUUUGGAUGAAGUUCUAAUAUUGCAACCAUGGAGGAAAAAUCAGCAAAUCUUAAAUAGAUGUAGUAGUCCAAAUGAUAAAAGUUUGUCUCAAGAUAAUAUUUUAGUAACUGCAGAUGCAUUGUGUUGAACCUAACCUCUUGUGUUUCACGGUAAUGAACAAGGACAAUGUGUUCAAAGGUCCUGAACAAAAAGCAGAAGAAAGUCAUAAAUUAUAUAAGUAGAACACGAUAUACUGCCACUGUCUAAUUUCAUUUUUCUUUGCUUGUGGCAUGAUGGGGAUAGACCCCACUGAAACAACUGGUAGCAAGCAAUUUAACAAUUUUCUUUCAACCAUAACAUACUUAUCUAGGAGCCAAUAACACCGGCGAACAAAGGUUGGGCUAUCUAGUCCAUGGGCAUAGUAUACAUGUAAUCUUUCUACAUUACCAACAUGCUGAAGAGAAAGAAAAGAUUAUCAAAGCACACCUUUUCUUGGUUAUUAAGGCUGUAAAAGAAUGAAAAUUACCAUAAAUCUAAACACAGUUAAUAUUAGACCAUUGAACAACCUAUAGAUUCAAAAGAAAAGACUCAAACCACCAAUAGACUGGUUAAUCAUUUAAACUGAUCUCCAACAACAUGAUACGCAGUAUAUCGUGCUAGAUCCAUAAUUACCACAUGUGGACUCCUAUGGUAAUUUCAUUGAUGAUACACAGCUAGUAGGCAAGAUUAUGAAAUGAAGACGGUAUGUGAGAAGAUUGAAAAGAUCAACAUGAUAAAAUUAUAGGGAUUUGAAUUUAUAUCUUAAGAACACCAGAGUCAAAUGCUUAAGCUGAUUAACUGUGUUAAAUUUAACUCUAUAAUAUAUUUUAAAUCUGAACAGUCAUUAAACAACUACAAUUUGAAUAAGCUUUAGAGAAUAUUAGCAAAAGCAGUAGAAAUUACUUCAAAUUUGUAGAGAAAGCACAUAAAUUAUAUUCUAGAGAAAGAGCAUCUGAAUUAUAUUCUAUAGAAACACGAGCCCAUAGCAUGUCUACGGAGUAGCAAUGACAGUGAAAAAGGGAAUAAUAAGUAACUAAUCUCACAAACCCCUUUCUCACAUCUAACCAAGUUCUUUCACAACAUGCAAAAGCAUCAAAAUAUUUAAGAAAACUUCCAAUAUUGCAUUUGGAACUCAUUGAUUGACUUCAACGUUUAAGAGUCAUAAAAGAUACAGCUUACUUUCUCACAUGUCACCACUAAGCCUACGGCAACAUCUUUUUAUAAGAUAUUCAGCUAAUCUUUAGAUUGUUUACCGAAUAAUCGUCUAUUGUUUUGUAAUUGAUCCCACCAAGCGCUUGCGCCACCUUGAAGUUUGAGAGCAACUAAUCGAACCUUCUUGUGUUCGGGUGUAUUGGCAUAGUCGAAAAAAAUUUCUACGUUCUUGAUCCAAUCAAGAAACUUCUCCACGUCCAUUCGACCAUUGAAGGUAGGGAGAUCCACUUUCAUACGUAUUUCUUGAUCUUCUUGAAAGUAUGGUCGAAGUCCAAACCUUUGUUGAGGUUCUUGAUGAAUGUUCAACAAGUUGUCUUCAUCGAAAGAGUCAGAAUCGUUUAAGAAAUUUCCAAGUACGUUGUUUCCAUACAAUCGAUUAUUGUGGAUGUGAAUAGGUUGAUUUCUUAGUAGUUCUUGGUUUACAACAGGGUUUAUUGGUCUUUCUUGUCUUUCUUGGUUUGCUGCAAUUGGGUUUCUUGGGGGAUGAAUUGCUUCUUCUAAAGGUUGGACAUGAAAUCGGGUAAAAAGGUUUGUUAAUUCUACUAACGAUUGCUGUAUAUUCGACUGCCCUUUUCGAAGUUCUUCAAUAGCUUGUUCUACCAACUGCAAGCCUUGGUUGAAGGAGGCUUCUGCGUCCAUGGAUAAGAGUGGUAGGAUCCAAGUUUUUUAGGGAAGAGUGAGCUAGGAUCACACUCUGAUACCAAUUGAUGCAGUAAUUGCAAAGCUAGAAAUCUUUAUGUAUAAUGCCUCUUUUUUUUUUAUGUCUUAUUAAUGAAAAUGAGAAGCUUUUUUAUAGGCUGGAGAUUACGAGAGUUGUUAAACUAACUUAGGGUUGAGUUAGUUUAACUUGGAGUUGAGUUAGUUAUAACUAACUCAAGAUACAAAAUUGGUAAUUCAAAUAACUAAUCCUAAACUAUAAAAAUGGUAAUUCAAACCACUCCUCUAGGAUAAAACUCAAGAAACAUCAAGAAGGGAGAUGUUCUACAUCAAAGUGUAGAGAACGAUUCAAAAUCCUUGGUGAAAGGAAUGAAUGUUAACUAAUGUGUGUUUAUGUGAAAUUGUUAUGUUAUGAGUAUGUUAAGGAUAAAGAAAGGUUUAUGCGAGAUAAAAUUAUUUGAUGUUGUUUAUGCGAAAUGAUGUUUAUGAAAAGGUAUUGCGAAAAGGAUUUCAUAAAACCUUAGUCUUUUAGACAUUCUUUCAAAAAUUCAUCUUCCAAGAUGAGGUGUUUAGGCCAAGUAGAGAAGAAGGUUGAAGGAUUUGCAGCGAGAUGACCAGACGUUUUGAAAAUAGUUAAGCAUUGGUUGUUUGGUCAAAGUGUUGUAAUUAUGUAUCAAACACAUGUUAUUAAUAAACAUCUUGGUCAUCGACCCUAAAGCUCUUGCAAUCCGACCCCUAACUCUCUCAUCGCCUCCUCAAAAAUCCAAAUCCUUCAAUUCCAGUCCUCAUCCAAAAAUUGAACCUCCCCCUCAUGAAUCUUACCCAAGUCCUCUCGCAUGUCUAUUAUCCUCUCACCACCAAAUCCCCCAUCAUUAUAACAACAUCCUUCACCUCACGACCUGACCGAACAAGCCCUUACCCGAUCAAAAGGGCAUUGUUAGCGAAGAAAAAUUCCUUAGGGUUGAGGAGGAAGACCUGCAUCACAUUCCUCUCCCUCCGCACACUACUAUACGUAAUUCCAAGGAGGAAGACUUACAUCUCGCGUGUAAACCCCGAUACUCAAUAAUCCUUAAUUCAUCUAAAGAACUCAAUAGGACAUAUAGGGGUUGAUGUUAGGAGAAAGAUGGUUUAAGAUUAAAUAGUUUAGUUGAAGUGUUAUGGAAGAUGUGUUAAUAUUUUUAAGAUGACAAAAGAAAAGUGUCAUCGUAACAAAGAAAGGCCUAAAGGGUGUUUGAAAUAUGGCUAAGUGUUGGCUAGGGCAUGUUGCAUACUCUAGGCGGCCAAAAGUGUCAAGCGAACCUCUAAAGAGACAUGUUGGGUGGCCAAAGGUUGAGAUGUGGUAUGGCCAAAGGUUGAGAUGUGGUAUGGCCAAAGGGUGAUAGCUCUCAUCAGUAGACUUUCCAUUGCUGGUUUCUUCCUUAGUCAUCAUUGUAUUGUUGUUUUCCACAAUAGAUAGGGUGAGUUGCAGUUUUACAUGAAAUGCACUGCUCAACCCACUCUUUUCUCACUAGUUCCUUAUUCUCAAUCUUGAACGCAAAUUUCAUCAUCUGGGCCAACCCAAUCGGUUCCACAGUUUCCACUUCCAUUUUUAUUCAUGGGCUAAGCCCAAUCAUCAAAGUCUCCUCUAACACUACUGUUUGAAGAAAUGCUACUAGAUCUAAAUAUCGAUCAAGUCUCCUCUAAUACAUUCAUUUUCUGUUUGAUUGAGAAAAAUCUUCCAACCAAAGUUCCUUCUCGAAUUGAUCGAAAUUGUACAAGCAUUCGUUCUUUCAGGUCAGCCCAAUUCUUAAAAACUUCCAACUCUUCUUGUGCUUGGUACCAAUCCAAUGCCAGAUCAUCAAAACUAAUAACGCCUGUGGUUAAUUUCUCUGAAUCAGUAAGAUCAUGUAUCUUAAAGAAGCGAUAGGCUCUAAAUGUGAGACCCAUUUCUAAUUUGAGUAAUGAAGUAAAUUUGGCUAGGUAUUAAGAAUUUGGCGUUUGAAUAAAUCCACGAAAAGGAUUAAGCGAUAAAAAAAUUUAUGGUUAAGUAUACGUUAUUGCGAUUCAGUGGGUAGUUUGCGAAGGAAGUUGUGCGACCCAUUUCUAAUUCGAGUAAGGAAGUAAAAUUCGGCUAAGAAUUAAGAAGUUGGUGUUCAAAUAAAUCCAUGGAAAGAUUAAGUGAUAAGAUCUUUUACGGUUAAGUAUACUUUUUUGCGAUAAGUGUGUAGUUCGCGAAAGAAGUUGUGCGAUAAGAAGCGAAAAAGUCUUUGCGUAAGUUAAGAAAUGAAAGUUUUGAGUGUUAGACUAGGAGUUUUGGGUGGUCUUCGCGAGAAGAAUCAAGCAUUUCGUGGAGAAGAAGUCUACGAGGAAGCCUUGGAGUUUAAGUUCGUGAUAAGAGUUUUAUGCGAGUAAAAGUUGGUUAGUUCAUGUGGAACGUUUCUUAUAAUAAAAAUAUAAUCAAGCGAUAAGGUUAUUCACGAGAAAUGUUAAGUGGUUGAAUUUAUUCACGGUUUGGGUUAGGUGGGGAGCAAGGUUUGUAAAGAAAAUGUCAAAUCUGAUUUGACAUGGGUUAACAUGUAAGAUUAAGGAUUUGAGCAUGACUAGGUUAAAUAUUAAGGAUUUGCAUGACUAAGUUAGUAUAAGGGAUCUAUAAAAUAGGAGAAUUUAGGUAACUAAGGAGGGGAUGAUGAGAGUUUUGUUGAAAUGCUAAAGUGUUGUUGGUUUAGCCACACGAAAAGAUGGUUGUGAGAAGGACUUCUUUAGUAAAGUUUGGUGAGUGCUUUUCAGUCAAAAGAAUUUAUGUUAAGAAACUUUAUUACGAUUUCUCUUUACUGAUUCAAAAGAAGAAUUCAGAUGAGAAUGUUUCAGAAAGAUUUCUAUGAAAAGUUAUGUUUUCAAGCAUUAUUUAUAAUGUUAAAGCUUGAUUUGAUGACUAUGAUUUCAAUAUUAUGUUUCUUUGAGAUGAUGCUAACUUUUGUGUGCACAUAAAGAGUGAAGGCCACUAUGGAGUGUACGAACUACAUGGUAAUAAGAAGCUGACUUAUGCAUUGAAAUGAGCGUAUAAAGCUUAGCGGUAUGAGCAACAAAGACGAAUUUGUAUGUUCUCAGAUGCUGUUGAUACAGUAGUCUAAACGCGAGGUAAUGAGACCAAGCGUAGAGAACGAUUCGGGAUCCUUGACAAAAUGAAAUGAUUUUUUAAGCAUAGAAAGGUUUAUUUGAAAUGAAAUAAUUUUUUGGUAUAUUUAAAUGAUUUGAUAUUAUUUUUACAAAAUGAUUAUGAAAAGGUAUUGUGAAAGGUUUUCAUAAAACCUUAAAGGAUUUAAAAAAAAGUGGACCAUUCAACUUAAUUCCCAUCCACUAUCCUCUUGUCCAACAUGAAACUUUAUCUUAGUAAAACUUCUUGAUCCACUAUUUUACAAAAAUAUUCAAAACAAUACCAUACUACACCAAAUGUGAUAUUUUGGUAACACUUAAAAUGGUCAGAAAUACCAUUUUCCUGACUUUUUUUUCAUCGACCAUUAAAGAAAAAGUAUAGAUGAUGUUUCACAAAAACUUCCAAACCAUUGUGUUAGUUAUCGUUUUGGAUGAGGGUUGGGGUAGAGCAUCAAUACUCAAAGGUUGUUAAGAAUUAAGAACUAAGACUUGAAAACGAAACCGCCUGCCUGGUUGACAACAACACCAUCCCACUAGAGUGCACAAUGAUGAUUUAUUGCAUUAAGAAGAAGAUGGCGCAGUUAACCUUAGCGCCGUAAUCAGAACCUCAAUCCUCCCUUUGAUGAAACCUAAAGGUGUCAUGCCUUUCCCCUCUACCACAUUGAAGCUCUUUGUCUAACACUACAAGAAAUGAGGGCUCUCUCGAUGCAUAAAAUCAUUGGGAGAUAUAUAAAAAGCGUCAGAAAAGGCUUUUCUGACGCACUAAUAUACGUCGGAACACAAGUCAGGAAAAAUGUAUCGGGAGUUCCUCUCCCGAUGCACAAUGUUGUGCGUCGAGAGUUUCUAGACAUCUUCCGACGUUGUAUGAACGUCGAAGAUGUUGUCAAUAUAGCAUCGAGAGAUGUCUAGGAACCAUGCGUCGGGAGAUCCUCUAUUUUUUUAAAAAAAAUAACUUCAAUUAAUUCCUAAAUUCAAAUUGAAAUUUUUAAAUUCAAACUCAACUUCAACACUUCAACCUCAACUUUAACACUUCAAUCCCAACUUCAACACUUCAAAUUCAAAUUUCUAAAACCUACAACUAAUUUAAAAUUCUAACAACACUUGAAAUUAAAUUUCAAUACUAAAACUUACAACUAAUUCAAAAUCUAAAUACUAAAACUAAUUUGAAAUCUAAAAUCUAACACCUAAAACAAAUUUGAAAUCUAAAUACUAAAACUAAUUAACUAAAACAAAACAAUAUCUAAACUAAACCACUUACCGAUGGCGACGACGACAGGACGACAACAGGGACGGCAAUGGAGAUGACAAUGCCCUCUUCUUCUCAAUCUUCCUCUCGGUCUCCCACUCCCUCUCUCAUUUUCUUUCUCUUUAUGUUUUCUUUAUGUAAAGAAUGGAGUUAAAAAAGACAGAGAACUCUUGACGCACAACGAAAACGUCGGGAAUAGCACCCUAUUCUUGACCUGAUUUGUUAAACGUCAGAAAUCCCUAAACAUAUUCCCACGCGAUUAAUGAUACGUUGGGAAUCCCUAAAUCUAUUCUCAACGUUGCUGCCACCACGUCAGAGGAAGGCGUAACAUACAAUUAAUGAUCUGCCCUUCCUCCGACGGUUCCUAAGCUUUUAGCUUUUCUCCAAUCACCCCUUAUGCAUGUUCUCAGGCGAAUCUCAACCAAACCAUAACACUCCAUCAAAAUAAAGAAGAACAGAGACACCUCAAAACCUUUAAUAAAGUUAAGGGAGAAGAAUGGAAUGGCAGAGAAGAAGAAGACACCUCAAAACCUUUAAUAUUAUCCUCUCACCACCAAAUACCUCAUCAUUAUAACAACAUCCUUCACCUCACGACCUGACCGAACAAGCCCUUACCCGAUAAAAAGGGCAUUGUUAGCGAAGAAGAAUUCCUUAGGGUUGAGGAGGAAGACCUGCAUCACAUUCCUCUCCCUCCGCACACUACUAUACGUAAUUCCAAGGAGGAAGACUUACAUCUCGCGUGUAAACCCGAUACCCAAUAAUCCUUAAUUCAUCUAAAUAACUCAAUAGGACAUUAGGGGUUGAUGUUAGGAGAAAGAUGGUUUAAGAUUAAAUAGUUUAGUUGAAGUGUUAUGGAAGAUGUGUUAAUAUUUUUAAGAUGACAAAAGAAAAGUGUCAUCGUAACAAAGAAAGGCCUAAAGGGUGUUCGAAAAUUGGCUAAGUGUUAGCUAGGGCAUGUUGCAUACUCUAGGCGGCCAAAAGUGUCAAGCGAACCUCUAAAGAGACAUGUUGGGUGGCCAAAGGUUGAGAUGUGGUAUGGCCGAAAGGUGUCAAGACAACCUCUAUAAGACAAGGCUAUAUGACCAAGGGUAUGCGCUAGGCAAGGAAGCUAAGCAUCUAGGAAAUGUCAAGAAACUCUAAAGAAGUUAGAACGUGGAUAAGGAAUGUCAUGCAACAAAGAGGUGGGCUAUGUGGACAUAGGCCAUGCGGCCAAUGGGGCAAUUCAACCAAAUGCUAGUCAAGAUGGCAUGGUUUGUUGAAGGCAUUGAGGGAUGUUUGGGAGAUUAGGCGAGAAAAAAAAGUCUUAGGCAUUCUUGGCAGUAAGAAUUUACUAAAGAACCCUUAUAGAAAAAGGGAUAUGCGUCCAAGGAUGACUUAAGCAAUAUGAGGUAAGAUGUGCGGUAGAGUACAAGUGGACAACAUACAAGAUACCUAAGUUUUGCCAAAUAAGUGUCUUGCAUGAGGUGGAAAGUGGCAAGUAUAGGCGUAAGAGGUGAUAAUAAAAGUGUCAACCAAAGAGCAUGCAAGGAUCACUAUAUGUACAACUUUGGACGAAUUAUGUUAACAAUCAACUUGUGUUAAUUGGGUAACUCUACUUCGAAAAUCUCCUAAAUUGAGUGUAGUAUCAGGAGAAAGGCUACCAGGAAGAAAGGCAUUGAAGUGAAGAAAGACUCAAAGGUCAUUUUCAGAAAAAAAAAAAAAAAAAAAGAAAAACCUAAACAAUGUUAGAGUAUUUUGGAGCUACAUAACUCAAUACUUGGAAUUUGUUAGUGACACUUUGUGGUAAGCUAGUGAAGAUAUUCUAAGUAAGUUUGUAGAAGGAAUCUUAUUGAUUUAAGCUUCAAAGUCGAGUUAAGUUUCUGGUAGAAAAAUCAUAUUUCUAGGCAAGGCCAAGGGUGGGUUGAUUGCCAGGAUGACAAGGUGAGAUGAGCGUGUGUUUUGAGCGAAAGAGGUUAUUUAGGCUUCGGACAUGCAGGAAGCAUGUCCUAGCAUGAUCAAGCAGCCUGAGCCACGCGUCAUUACACACUCUAUUAUGAAAGUUGAGUAUAUUGAUACUUGUGAAGCAGCAAAAGAAGCAGUUUUGCUGAGGAAGUUCUUGCAUAAUUUGGAAGUUGUUCCAAACAUGAACAUACCCCAUCACUCUAUAUUGUGAUAAUAGUGGGGCAUAUUACUAAUCCAUUUACAAAGACUCUCAUGGCUAAAGUGUUCAAGGGUCUUCUAGAAAGUCUAGAUCUGCGAGUUAUGUACAUUAGGUAAUCUAGGAAAAGUGGCAGAUGUGUAAUGGGUAUGAGGAUGCCCUAGUUUAUUGUAUUUGUAUAUACACAUUCUAUGUAAUACACUUGUACAUUUUACCAUUUUCAAUGUUAGAGGAUACUUUAUUUUUAAGGCUCUAUUUUUUUCAAGAAAGAGAAAUUUCAGCUAAAGAGGAAAACACUAAGGACAACCAAGCAAAAAAGUCUAACAAAUAUCAAAAGAGAACAUGCAGGAAAGAAAGAAUGUAAAUAAGGUUUUAUCCGCACCAAGCAAAAAAGUCUAACAAGUAUCAAAAGCUUCAUAAGUUGUACUAGAAUUCAAAGCUCUAAACUCUAAAGAAUGUAAAUUUCUUUGAAGAAAUUUGUGUAUAAAGGUCACAUAGUUGAAAAUUCAAUACCUUUUCAAGAAUGUUGUUGAGAAGAUUAUUGUGAUGAAUCUUUGAAUCCAAAUUAUGGAGACAAAGAUAAAUAAAUGAGUUCUGAUUCUAACUGACUGAAUGAGAGAUAAGAAAAUAAGAACAUUGGAGUUGAAUUAUCAGCAUUUAUUUUAAUCAAACUUACGAUAGCAAACCAAAUUAUAGAGAGAGAUCAAAUGCUAGGAUAAAGGAAUAGUCUUACAUUUGGUGAGUUCCCAAAUGUUGUGGUAGUCACGACGAGUUAUUCCACUCGAAUUGUCUUAGACAAGAGGCUUCCGUUCAGCAAGUACUGGUGAGAAUUAAAGUGGAAUCACAAACUUAAAAACACUUAAUCUUUAACAAACUUUUCUGACUUUUUGCAAUUACUUUUUAACACAAGAUAUCAAAACACACUUAAAAACCAUAACAACCAAUUACCAUAAAACGGUGUCCAAUAACAAUAAUUGGGUCGACCCAAACAUCAUUAAAUUCUUGGAAAAGGUUGUGGACUAGACCUUCACCAUCUUGCCCCUAAAGCAAGUUAAAGCUUAAGGAAAGAACAUAGUAGAAACAAAAAUCAUAAACUCAUCAGUUAGAUAGUAUUGGUGGUCAAAACCUCAAGGUCUCACUUCUUCCAUUUUAUAUUACCAAAUUUGAAAAUGAUUUUUAAUAUAUGAUCAUUCCUUGAAACAUGUUGGUGUACAAGUGUGAAUGAAACUAAAUCAAGUUUGUGUUUUAUGUUAUUGUUUUUGACAUUAUAUUUAUGUGUUAUGCAAUCCAUGAGAAUAUAUUUAUGUGCUAUGCAAUCCAGAAGGGGGAAUGCAACUAUACCCAAUUCAUAAUUGUAUUUGGAACACUAAUGAUUUUAGCACAAAUUCCAUCUUUCCAUUCUCUAAGACAUAUAAACCUUAUCUCCCUCACUCUAUACCUUGGCUAUAGUGCUCUUUGUCUACAUCUAUCCCUAGGAUUAAAACGCAACAUAUUAAAAUGCUCGUAAUUAAAAAUUCAUACAAAAUUUAAAUUAAAUUAAACAUCAAGACCCCUCACGAAGAUGAAUCUCUGUUCAUUUUUCUUUUUAUUAACAAACAAAAGUUUUUAGGUCCACUUCUUUCAACAACCUCCUCAAGGAUCCUUAAUUAGCUCUUUCCAAGUUCAUAACCACUCUAGUCAUGCAAAGAUUAAGGUUCAUGGCCAAUCAACAAUUAAUCUGUGAUUAAGAUAUUAUGAACAUUAUUCACAUAAAAACAUGAAAAGAUUAAGAGCAGAUAAUCAGAUGCAUUACAAAGAAUAAUUCAUAAACUUUGUCUACAUCUAUCCCUAGGAUUAAGAGUUUAGCUACCCUAUACUUCACAAUAUAAAACACAAAACUCAAUACAAUACCCAUAACAAAAAUUCGAGGAGAAGAAAAAGAAAACGAAGAAGAAAAUCUAGUGAUUCGUAUUAUUAUAAUAUUGUGUAUAACAGUAUGUGUUUUUUAAUAUUCUCUGUUUCCAGCUCCAGUGUACCAAAAUAUUAUCACAAACUCCACAAUCCUUCUCUUUCCAAUCCCUAAACUAACCAAUGAAUCAUAUUCGCACGCUUGGUAGCCUUGUUCAAAAUAUUAUAUAUUACAAUUAUAAUAACUUGUAUCCCCCCUUUUCAAGCCUAAAAUGCAAAACCUUUCUUCCAUUCUCUAAGGCAUAUUUCCUCUUCUUUAAGUUUGCAUUCCAAUUUUAAAUUCCAAAUUACAAAUUUUAAUCACAAAGGAAAAAAGGAAAAUUAUUACCUUUAGAAAGGGAAGAAAAUGAAUGAGUAACCAUGAAGGAUUUGGAAACGAAUAGAGGUUUAGCGAAAGUGGAAUGCGACAGAAGGACGGUGAACGUGUUUACUCGUUUUCGAAUAGAGAAUGUGUUUACACAUUUCAAACGGUGAACAGACGGACGCAAAUCAACGAAGGUGAAGGGAACGCAAAGCAGACGAACGGUGACGGACGAUGAAGGCAAAUGAAUGAAGGUGAACGCUGAUGAACGCGAAGGGAAGUCUUUUUCGGCGAUGAACGCAGAUGAAUGCACAGAUGAAUGCGAAGGGAAGGUUAGGUGAACGACGCUUUUGAUUUCGGGUGGAGAAGGGACAAAGUCGCGGUGAAUUAGGUUUAAUUAAGAAAAGGGGAAGUGAUCUAAUUGAAACGUUGCGUUUUGUAAAAGAAUAUUAACACAAUAAUUUUUUUGGAAAUUUCUUGACGUUUUUAAAACAUCAAAAACAAAUUAAAAUUUCUUGAAGUUUUUAAAAACAUCAAUGAUUUUUUAGAAUUAUCUUGACGUUUUAAAAAACGUCAAGAAUUUUUUUAUAAAUUUCUUGACGUUUUUAAAACGUCAAAAAAUUAUUAGAUAUUUCUUGAUGUUUAAAAAACGUCAAGAAAAAGUACAUCUUACUUGACGUUUAAUAAAUGUCAAGAAAGUUGAAAAUUGGCCUUUCAUAAAAAUUCUUGACGUUUUUUUAUUUGAAAUCACAUCUUUCUUGACGUUUUUGGGAAAAAACGUCAAGAAAGGAAAACUACAACCGUCAAGAGAGCCUGUUUUUGUAGUAGUGAUUUUGGGGACAAGACUGAGUGGGGAGUUGGGAUUAUAAUUGCACAAAAUGGAAUUCACUCAUUUCCUACUUUAGGGUAAGUAGAUGAAUGUUAGCUUAAAUGGUGUCUCCAAAACUUGAACAAAGGGCUCGUACCCUCUCUAUGACAUGAGAGGGGUUUUUGUUUAUUAGUAGGACCAUAAACAAGUUGUUCAUUAGAGGAGCACUGGUUUUUAAGGAUUAGAGAUAACAUAGGGGUAAAGCGGUAAAUUGGUCCAACUGGUGUUACAAACACUCGUGAAGGACUAACUUACUAUUAUUGGUCUAUAUCCGUGGACACAUAAAUAUAUUUUUAGUGAGAAGAGUUCAGUUGUGAGUCUUUAGUGGAGUGUACACAAAGCUAACAAAUAUUGAUUAAUGAGUUUAGCCAAUUAAUCUUAGAUCGUUGUAGCUUCUGAUCUGUAGGUCCAUUAGGUCCCUUUCCUAGCUCGUAAAGGGUAAUGAGAUUUAUUUGUAUUGGUUGUAAUUUAAAAUGUUUAAAUUUAACUUGGGAAUUAGUAUAAUGUAUAGUGAUACAUUAUAAUAUAAAGUUUAUCAAACUUUACUAUAUAAAUUUAACUUUGGGAUGAUUCAAAAUUAAUUUAUGAGAGAUAAAAUAUUUGAAUGAGUUCAAAUAUUAAUUUAAUGUGAAUUGGAUUCAUAUUUAAAAUUAUUGAGAGAAACUUAUAUUUGAAUAUGAUUCAAAUUUAAUUUAAGUUAAAUAUAAGAUAAAUAAUUUAGUGUUAUUAGUUAAUUGGAGAAUUAAUUAAUAGUUUAGUUUAAUAUUAUUUAAUUAAAUUCGAUUUCAUUAAUUAUUAACUAAUUGAUUAAUGUUUAAUUAAUCAGUAGAUUUGAAAUAUAUAUUAAUUUAAUUAUUUAUAAAUUAAUAGAAUCUCAUGAUUCUCUUCUACUUCAUUUUCUAUUCCUAGAAGGAAAGAGAGUUAUAAUAUCUAGAAGAAAACAAUUUUCUUAAAAACAACACUAAUGGUACUCUUUGUAAUUUAAGCUCUCUUUGCAAUGAACAGUCUUCAAAGUUUUUUUUAACGAUGUUUCCAAUGCUUUCCUUUCUCUCUCAUGUUUAAUAAAACCAAUUUCUCUUAAAAUCUAUAGGGAGGCUACAUCGUAUCGAAUUUCAUACAACUGACGUGUUCAUCGAGUUACAACAAGUGUCGCACAAUAGUCUGUUCCGUGUUUGAAAAGUUGUGAUUGUGACACGCUGCACAUGAGGUUAGAACGAGACAUGGCAAGGCAAGCCCUACGCGCACCUGCCAACUUCUGCCACAAUAUUUUGUACGCAAGCUAAUGUCUUUGGCCUGUUUUUGUGGUUUUUGGAAAUUUUAAGCAAAGUUUUGAUAUUUUUAUGAUCAACGGGAAUUAAAUGGAAUUAUUUCCCAUUAUUUUUCAUUAUUUUAGAUCUGAAGGAGAUCAAACAAGUUUAUAAGCCAAGGGUCCAAGCUACUCUCUAUAAAUGACAAAAACGAGUUUAAAGUUGAUUUCUAAACAUGAAUUUACUAUCAAAUGUUUCAAGCAUGCUUUGAUGUUUGAAUAUUUGAGAAUACUAACUUAUAAAGUAUUUCCAAAGCAUGAAUUUAGAAACAUUUUGGUAAACAUGUUUUUAUUGAUGAAUUUACUAAUGAAAAUUAUAAGCAAUCAUGAUUGUGCUAAGUUUUCAAAAUGUUUAAGCUUGAAAAUAAUAUUAGCAUGUUUUAGUCUAUACCUAAAAUAUUCUAAGAUAUAUAGCAACCCUUCGGGAGAGAUUUUCUUGUGCAUAGAGGUCAUUUGAUUUGGAUAUUCAGUAAAUACCUAGCUUUCCAUCAUUGGUAUUAGAUAAGAGAUGAAGACUUCUAAAGAUGCUUAGUUUCCCAUCUCAAGGGACGAGAGCCUGUACGAAUGCCUAGUUUUCCAUCUCAUUGUAGUUAUAACGAGAUAGGGCACAAUUGAUGCCUAGAGUUUCAUCUCGUAAGUAUCGUAUCACGGGAUAGGGCUUCUAUGCCUAGUUUAUUGUUUUUCGUCUCGACGAUUCUAGGUAUAGCAACUGAAAGGGAAAGUUUGAGAUAAGUUGUUUGAGUUUGAUUUCAUUUAUGUUAAGAGUUAAUUGUUAAAUACUUAUUAUUUCAAAACGAUGUUUUAUUAAACAAUCACUCAUUGGGCUAUUUAGCUCACUCUUUGGAUAAAUAUCCCCAUAUGGAUUACGUUGUUUGGAAAAUUAAACUGUGCUUUAGUACUUCAAAGAAAACUUCCCUCCCAUGUCCUCUCACCUCAUGUCUGCCCCAUUUGUGUUGAUAACAUGAAAAAUAUUUAGUACCUUUGAAUUGACUAUGUCUUUGUAUCGAAAUGUUGGUUCCGUCUUCUCCAAACAUUCAAUAUUUGUUGGGAUUUUUUGCUCAAUCAAGGCUUAUUCUUCUUUGUUCUCGACCUGCUACCUAUGAUUUAUGAUUUUGUUUUGGACAUAUUAUUUUAUCGUUUUGCUUGGUUUUAUAUUUGUGGCUUUUGUUUUGUUUUGUUUUUUGUUUUUUGUUUUUUUUUUGUGAAAAGGAGACAACCUCUUUAUUAAUAUUAAAAUAAUAAUAAUAAUUAGACAAAAGCUCAUAGUACAAGAGAGUUAUACAAUGAACAUGUAACCAUGGAUCAGGGGGUGCACCUUGGCAUCUCAACUAGGGGAGAGGAUUUCGUUAUGACGGUGAAUUAUGAGUGGAAGCCUCGAAGGUGUAAUUUGUGCCGGUCUUUUGGGCAUUCUAGUGGUAAGUGUCCUAAGAUUGUGGAAAACAAAGUUCAUCGAGAGAAGGAUGUGAGCAAGGUGGUUUCAAACAAAGAGGAGGAGUGGACAAUUGUGUCUUGUGGAUGUGGUGUUAGACUUUAAAUAGUUGGAGGAAAGUAAGACUAAUAGCUCCCCCAUUAGGCAUAUUAAGGAAAAGGAGGUAGGUAAUCGAGAUGAAAUUACUCGUUAUUAGGAAGAAAAGAGAGUUGGUUUAUGUUCGAGAGAAGGGUAAACGUGUGGAUGUGAUUAUGCCUAACUCUUUUGGCAGCCUUAUGAAGUUAGGUGAGGGAGACAAGUGGACCUUAUCUAUAGUGGAUGACUCCCCUCCCCCCUUACAAGUGGAUGAUACCGCUAUUGUUCUUAGGCGUAUGUUAUUAAUCACCUUAAGAUAAUUUCAAAAUAUAAAUAUAUUUUUAGUAUAAGUCCUCACGUUUGACUCUAGACUCACCAAGAAACCUUAUUUGGAUAUUACGAAUAUGACAAAAUUAGUGAUAUUAGAUGACUAUCAAACGAUAAUCAUAGGAUUAUCAACUUUUAAAUUUACUACUUUUAAAAUUUAGAAAAUGUAGUGACAUGAGUCAUGUGAUUAUAAAUGUUUUUGUUAUUUUUGCAGGGUUCCAAAGAAAAAAAGAAAAAAGUAAGAUGUGAUUGAUAAUAUGUGAAAAAAGGAAAAAAAUUAAAUAAAUAUAACUCGAUAUAUCUAAUUUGUUUAAAAACGACCCCAUUUGUAAUUUUUCUUUUCAAAAGUCACACAACAUCUUUUUGGAAAGUUUUUUUAGAGAAGCAUGCCAAUACCUUCAUCCUACGUAUAUAGAUGUAUUUAUGAAUAAUUUUUAAAAGUUCAAAACAAUUUUUUUUAACAUUUCAAAGUUUAAGGUUAUUUUUUUACACAAACUACAAAAUUCAAAAGAAUUUUCUUUUGUAAUUUAACUAAAUACUGUUGUAUGUAUAUAUAUAUAUAUAUAUAAAUUAGUUAUCUUUUUUAGUCCUAUAUUGUAAAAAAAUAUGAUUAUCGAUUUAUUGAAAUCUAAUUUGUAAAUGGCUUAAAACAUUUAGUUAUUAGUAAGCAGCGUUAUUAUUUUAAAAUAGAAAACAAAAAUUAACAUUAUUGUUAAACCGAGCCAUUCUCGAGAACAUGAAAUAGAAUUGGAUAGCUGCCAUGCAUCGUGUCUAUGAAUGUUAAGAAUGAAACUAUCGGUAGGGUUAUAGAAUAAUCAUUCUAUCAGCCUCAAUUAUGAUACAGGGUUUAUGAAAUAGAAUUUUCUUAUGUAUUGUAAUAGUAGAAGAUUAUUCGUCAGGAAGCAAAGCUUAUAGCUUUGAAGAGUAUCUAAAGGUUACAGAAGAGCAACCGAAAGCUUACGAUCAGCUCCAAACCAAUUUUCCAGCACAAAGCCAGAGUGGAUCCCAAGUACAACGGGAAGGUUGUUAAAAUCAAAUCUCUUAUGUCUUAUUUCAUAACUAUUUAGUUUUGAUCUUAACUACAAAAAUUUUCAUUUUUUUCUAGGUGAACAUUGUAUGUGCUUAGAAAUUAAGUGUUUUGAAAAUUAGAGGUGAGCAAUCACACUUAGAAACUAAGUGUAGAACCAUAGAAAUGUUACCCCAUCGGUUCUAGCAAUGCCUAGUUCCCGCAGUUCAUAACAAAGAAAGAAAAGAGGCUCGUAAAUGCAGACCAUAAAAAAGUGAGACAAUCAACAAUUAUAUAAAAAAAAAAAAACAUAUGCAAUAUGCAUUAAAAAAAGCUCAUAAAAAAUACAGAGUCAAGUCAAUUAGGUCAAGUAGAACAUGUUGAGUUCCCUAGCUAUUAGAGAUUUUGGGGGAAAACAUCGCUUUUGGCCUAACCAAAACUAGACCAUCUAUUUUUAGUGUUUUAAACAUAACGUCAAGUUUGAUUGAGGGCUUUGAAAAGAGGAGGAAUCCUCCUCGAUCCACAGUAGGGCGAAAACGAGGCUUGUUGUCACUUCGAAGGGAGCAGUCAAACUUAGCAUUGAGUUUGAUUUUUUUUUUGAAAAGGUAAUGAUAAUAUUAUACAACAACAAGGUGGACCUCACAGCCUGAGGUCAAGACAAAAGAGCGAACAACACUCACAAAACAAGUAGUUAGACAAAACAACCCAUAAGUACCCAAAACAACCCCACAUCUCGGGAACAAGAACUAAAACCAAAAGAAACCAACUAGUGUUCCAAACAUUAAAAGGACAAGAAAAGAGAGAAAGACAACAAAGUUAAUAAAGAGAAGAGAAACCCCACACCCGAGGACAAGCAAACGAAAAGAACAUUAAAUAAGACCAUGAACACCAUCCGACCAAGAAGCAGCACACGCUUUAAUACACGACCGAAUGAGCUGGAAUACAACCAUAGGCUCCCGAACAGCACCUCCAUGAAGACGAUGAUUUCGCUCCUGCCAAAUGAAAUAAAUUGUAGCACACCAGAGAAGGCGCCACAGUUUUCUCCUCACACUCUUCCCAAUACCCUGAUUAUAAAUCCAAGAUAACUCAACCCCCAAUAACCGAUUCUAUGAGAAGAUGACAUAAGCAAAAGGAUCCUCGACCAAAUCUCCCACCCAAAAUGACAAGAAAAAAACAAAUGAUCACGAGACUCAUAGUUCCCUCCACAAAGCAAACACGAUAAAGGAAUCGACCUAUCCCACCGACUUAACCUAUCUCUAGUACUCAACCUAUCCCUGAUGGCCAACCAAGCACAGAAGGAGUGCUUAGGAAUAUUUCCCCCACCCCAUAGUAAACCCGACCAUCCAACCCUACUACUAUGAGGACGAAUAGUCUCCCACGCACUAGUGAUCGAAAAACUAUCACGACUCCCCGGCACCCAGACCCACCUAUCCUCAACACUCGGACUCGGCCUCACUCCCUGAACCCUAUCCCAAAUGUCCAUCAAAUCCAAAGAAACAAGCGGCCACCUCCAAUCACCAUCCCGACCCAUGAAAUCCACCAGCCUCACAUCCCACCGACUACCCGCAUCAUAGAUCACCCUCUCCCCAAACUGCUGGAUAAUCGGCCCACCCUGAAUCCAUGGAACCAACCACACUCUACACUUCCUUCCAUUGCCCACCUCCAUCUAAACAUGAGCUUUAAGGAUAUCCCGCUUACGCAAGAUUUCCCUAAAGCACCAAGAUCGACCCACCCCAGCAUCGAUCUCCCACAGCGAUCUCCCUUUAAGGAUAUAAGAUUCCACCCAAGAAACCCACAAACUACCAGAUUUAACAAGUAGCAACCAUAAUAUCUUCAACGUGCUUGCUAUAUUCCAAGAAGAUCCAUCGCGAAUAUCAAGACCUCCUUCAUCAAAAGGAAGACAAACCUCAUCCCAGGCAACUUUAGCACCACUUCUUCCCUCCUCCUUACCUCUCCACAGAUAAGCCCUCAAGAUCUUAUCAACGUCUCUGUGGACUUUCAUAGGAAGCAUGAACACACUAGCCCAAUAAACCUGAAGGCUCCUAAGGACUGAGCGAACAAGCUGAAGUCUACCUGCAAAAGAUAACACUUUAGCAGACCAAGACCGAAUACGAAUGGUAAUACGCUGAAUAAGGGGAUCACAAUCAGAGCUCCGCAAUCUUCCAGAGAGGAGAGGAAGCCCAAGAUAACGAAUAGGGAGAUGACCAAUGGAAAAACCCAUGUUAGCAGCAAGCCGAGAAUCUUUCGAACUAUUAACCCCCACAAGAAAAAUUGAGCUUUUAGGAAGAUUAGCAAACAAUCCCGAAAGCUCACCAAACCUCUUAAUAGUCUCUUUUAUGAAACUCAUAGAAUGAUUAUCAGCAGUACAAAAGAUCAUUAGGUCAUCUACAAAAGUAAGAUGAGUUAAUCUGACCUUCUCACAAAACUGGUGGAAUUGAAAAUUCUGAGGUGGGCUGUUCAACAUGCGAGAAAGCACCUCCAUGACCAUCACAAAUAAGAACGGGGAUAAAGGGUCACCUUGUCUAAGUCCUUUCCUCCCAUGGAAAAAACCUUCCAACGAUCCAUUAAUCAUAAUGGAGAACAUCGGAGAGGUCACACACGCUCGAACCCAACUCAUAAAUCUUAAAGGCGUACCUAUGGCAAUCAGCAGGCCAAAGAGGAAAUCCCAAUUAACAGAAUCAUAAGCUUUUUGGAGGUCAACCUUCAUAGUGCACCGAGGUUUACCUCUGUGCAAAUGGUAUGCCCCUACAAGCUCCUGACAAAGAAGAAUAUUGUCAAUAAUACUCCUCCCAGGGAUGAAAGCUGGCUGAUUUCCACUAACAAAAGAAGGAAGCCACACACGAAGCCUAUCUGCCAAUAUUCUUGAAAUGCACUUAUAAAUAACGCUGCAAUAAGAUAUAGGGCUGAAAUCCUCCAAUCGAUCAGCACCAUUCCUUUUAGGAAUAAGUGUAAUAGCAAUCGUAUUCACCCCUUGAGGGAAGUAAUUGGUCUCAAAGAAGUGUAAGACGACAUCAUAGAAACCCUCUCCAACCACCGUCCAAGCUCCUUUGAAGAAGCUAACUGAAUACCCAUCAGGGCCUGGAGCCUUUCCACCAUCCAUGGAGAACAGAACACGUCUCACUUCCUCCCUGCCAAUAGGCGACUGGAGGGUCUGGCAACACUCCUCAGUCCAUCUAAACUGAACAAUCUCCUCAAUACUAGUAGAGAGCUCUUUGUAGCUAAUAUUCUGAGAACCCAGACUAUCUUUGAAAUAAUUCACUACCACCUGAGUCACCUGAUCAUGGUUAGUCAACCGAUUUCCAUCUGGGUCAAUAACUGAUCUCAAAGCAUUGCUGCUCUGCCUUGAUCGAACAGAUCGAUGAAAAAAGGCAGUAUUCUGGUCAUCUAGCUUCAACCAUCUGAUUUGCAACUUCUGGCGCAUAGCGGCUUCCUCCAUUCUAACGGCUGUCCAAAAGUUUACCGUGGCUAAGCUCGCGUGAUUACUCGCCUCCUCCGACAAAGAGUUCGUCUCCAUCUCUCUUUGAGCUCGGUCCAUGGUAUCAUUGGCAAGACGAACAUCCUCACUGAUGGUCCGGAUAUGCCUACCAAAAUGUCUGCGAAGAAUCGACUUGAGAUUUCUUUAGUUCCUCACAAUAUUCACAGUUGGAGAAACUCUAGUAUCUUUGGUCCAAGCAGAGGACACAACAUCCAUAAAGGACGCUUCUUCAACCCAAUGGUUAAAGAAACGAAAAGAGACCACUUGUUGGCUUCGCUGAUUACUGGGAUAGACAAGUAUGGGAGAAUGAUCAGAAAUACCCCACGGGAGGACGUUAACCCUCAUGUUAGACCAUGUACUAAGCCCCUCAUCAUUCACUAGGAUACGAUCAAGUCUAUUCAUCAAACCCGACCCAUGUAUCUUACUAGUCCAAGUAAACCAGUUCCCCUGGACCGCGGGUUCAACAAGGUCCGCCUCUCGAAUAGCCAUGUCAAACUCCUCCAUAUCCCCCACGUUCGAAGCACCCCCGAAGGCUUCAGAGUGGAGUCUGAUGGUGUUAAAAUCACCCAAGACCAUACCCGGUCCUCUCCAACCAGCAGAGAUCUCAGCCAUUCGCCUCCAUAAAACACGUCUCUUGAUAUUACUAUUAGAGGCAUACACACACAGAACCUCUACCUUCUCCCCAGAGAUCAAAUCUGUUAUUACACCAGAAAUAAACUGGUCGACAACCUCGUUAGUCGUGAACACGAAUCUGUUACGUUUCCACAUAAUCCACAUCCGACCUACUCCACUAUUGCUGUAGUUACUAAUGAACCCCACGAAUCACCAAAUCUUCUAGAUAUCGAGACAAAGUUCUCCUCUCGAACUCUAGUCUCCAGGAUGCAACAGAAACCCACCGUAGACACGGCUAAGAAGUCCUUCACCGCUCUACACUUUACAGGGCUAUUAAGGCCCCGCACGUUCCACGUACACCAACUAACCAUGAGGUCGUAUGGGAGCUGCCUCUCCCAUAGGAAUGACAUCACCUGUAGUACUCAAAAGGACCAUAGAAGAGUCAUCUACUCGUAAGGGAGGAGGGGAGCCAUCCACUAUAGAUAAAGGCCAUUUAUCUCCUUUAUCCACCUCCAUGAGGUUGUUAAAGGAGUCAGUGAUACUCACUUCCACCCUUUUCCCUCUGUCCCGAAUAGAGAUCAUUCCCCUAUUUUUCCUGUCCACUGGGGUAAAUUCCUCCCGAUUUACCUCCACCUUUUCAGGCAGUUUAUGGGUAAUAAUUUCUCCUUCUUCCAUGUGUUGGAAGGAUUCCAACACAACAUCUCCAUACUCCCCACAAUCUGGAACCACCUCUUUAGUAGGAACAACCUCUUUAACAGGAACCUCUUUACUUGCAGCUUCCUUUUUACUAUCUUCAUUGCCUCUUUUCUUAGGGCAGGUGUUCUGCGAGUGUCCAAAAGAUCGACACAAGUUACAUUUUUUCGGUUUCCACUCAUAAGUGACAGUUACAAUAAAUUCCUCUCCUCUAAGGUUGACUGUUACUUCGGCAGGCAUAAUACUGUCCACAUUCAAUUCCACACAUAUACGGGCAUAAGAAAGAUGACGCCUCUCUUUAGUAGCAAGAUCAACUGAAAGAGGUUUUCCUAUUGCACUCGCUACCACAGCCAAACCAGCAUCCGUCCAUAGCUCCAACGGAAUCCUCCCUAACUUUAUCCAAACAGGAACUGAAUCAAAGACAAAGGAUUCAGGAACUAUACCUGGAGUCCAUUUGCGGAGGAGCAUAGGUUUGCCUCCAAGGUGCCAUGAGCCACGGGAUAAGAUCCACUCUAUCGACUUCAGAUGUUUGAAUUGAAAGCAGAUGAGCCCAUUCUCCAUCAGAGUAAUUGUUGGCAUUUCAAUUCUACCCCAAAUCUUCUCUAUAAGACGAUAGAUGACUAGAUACGGCAAUUUUGCAUCAAGUAAUUGGCUGACGAGGGAGUUCUCCCGCACUCUAACUCCUUGACUAAUAACUUCUUCAAACGGGGUCACCACAAUUUUCUCUCCCACGGUAGUUAGAGGUGUAUAGGUCAAAGAGAAACCUCUUGUUGAGCCAAAUAAGGAAGCCCAUGAAUUUUUUGCCUGCACCUCCAGAAUUAUUAGAUUUAUGCACCUCAUGCCCACGAAUCGGAACAGGCGGCCCACCAUUUGAAUUAGUACCAAACGGUUCUCUAAUGGCUGGCCCAUCAUUCAAAUGCCCAUCAACCGGCCCAAUCUUUGGGGCACUUGCAAUAGCAUCCAGCCCAGGUCCAUAUCCUUUGGCCGCUGCAAUUUGCCCAACAUGCUGAACACUUGAAGCACCAACAGGUAAGCACUCCUUCUGUGAGAUCCCAGUUUCGUGUGAGAUGGACGGCCCAUCAUUCAACGAUGGCCCAUCAACCAGAGAUCCAUGACGAAUUCCAUUCGUAAAUGUGUCCACACCAUUCGGCUUCAGCCCCUUUACCGGCUCAUUGGACUUCAUCAAGUUUUCAUUCAAAACAAUCGGCCCACACGCCUUUGGGCCAACAAUCUUCAUAGGACCAUUUCCGCUCGGUCCAUUUCCUGUAUUUCGGUUUUUAUAUGUAUCACAGUUCACGUAAACCGGUUCGGGUCCACUCAUGUCCGACCGUUUCUUCCUCGCAGAAAUUAGGUCAGCCUUUACAGUCGCCGCCCUUCGGUCGUUCGCCGCCAUAUCAUGUACGCGUUGAAGGCUUGACAUCACGCGUUUCUUCACCUCCUCAACGUCACUGGAUAAUUUCUUCAUCGUUUCAUGCUUAGGACAUCAACCCAACACCCGUGAUGAUCUUUUCGGCCCAAUCUAGGAACACGAAUGAACUCAAAAAGAAUUAAAAUUCAACCGAGGAGAUUCAUGCGAGAUCCCUCCAGCGAGUGAAUUAAAUCACGGUCUUCAAACGCAGAACUGAUAGCCAAUAAAUCGAUUCGUACCACACGCAAUACUUUCAAGAUAGUUCAAAUCAAUUCAGCUUGGAAACCGAUUUAAACAAUUUCUGACAGACGUUAAUUCUCCCGAAUCAAAAAGAAUAUCAUUCGUAAUGGUUCAAUUGAUCAAUUGUAAUAAAUUUCAAAAUGGAUACCAAAUGACAUUAGUUUUCACAUUCAAUCUGCCAAAACCGAACGAAUUACCUUCGAAUUUGAUCCCUUGCUGACCGCAGCACUCACCAGUCGUUCGCCUCCUUCACCAGCUGAGUGAGAGAACUUGGAAAUCCUAGAGAGACGCGUGUGAGGUACACGCACCCGAGAUGAAAAUUUUUCCUUUUUACUCUAAUUGAGUUUGAUUGAGGGCUUUGAAAAGAGGAGGAAUCCUCUCUAAUCCACAAUAGGGGAAAACGAGGCUUGUUGUCACUUCGAAGGGAGCAGUUAAACUUAGCAUUGAGUUUGAUUGAGGGCAUUGAAAAGAGGAGGAAUCCUCUAUGAUCCACAAUAGGGGAAAACGAGGCUUGUUGUCACUUCGAAGGGAGUAAUCAAACUUUGAAACUAAGUGUAGAACCAUAGAGAGAUUACCCCACCGAUUCUAGCAAGGCCUAUUACCAUAUUUCAUACCAAAGAAAGAAAAAAGAGGCUUGUAAAUGCAAACCAUAAAAAUGUGAGACAAUCAACAACUAUAAAAAAAACAUAUGCAAUAUGCAUUGAAAAAAGCUCAUAAAAAUUAGAGAGUCAAGUCGAUUAAGUCAAGUAGAAUGUGUUGAGUUCCCUAACUAUUAGUGCUUUUGGGGGAAAUUUUCACUUUUGGCCUAACCAAAACUAGACCACCUAUUCUUAGCGUUCUAAACAUAGCAUCAAGUUUGAUUGAGGGCUUUAAAAAGAGAAGGAAUCCUCCCCAAACCACGGAAGGGGGAAAAUGAGGGUCUUCACUCUGAAGGGAGCAGUCAAACUUAGCAUUGAGUUUGGUUGGAGGCUUUGAAAAGAGGAGGAAUCUGAUAGACCCCCUAUAUUACAUCUGUACAGUGGAAGAGGGACAAAGAAAUUAAAAAAAAAAUAUCACGUGCACAUGAAUAGCAUGUGAGGGUUAGUAAAGGGAAGGGUUAGUUACCUUAUUGUUAGUAUAAAUAAAAAGUAAUCGUGGGCGGGAAAGUUAGGUUUUGUUUGAGAAAGUGAAUUUCUAUUCUUCCUUGAGAGAGAGGAUAACAGGAGAGGGAUUUCAUAUUGUAAUUAGGAUUUCAUUCCUAUUCUAUCAUUAAUAAUAUAGUAGCAAUUUCAUUCCAAGACUGGUUUCCAUCAAAUUGGUAUCAGAGCAUUGAUCUCGGGCAAGAAGAAUGCAAAUGGUUCAGACUCGGAUCGAAGAGAUGGAGACGUUUGACCAGGAAAUACAGGACAUUAAGAAAGAGAUUAGUAAGAUACUGGUGAUCGAAAAGACGUUGGCCAAAAUAUCCAAAAAUAUGGAGAGGUAGAAUUUAGAUGAUGUUACGAAUUAUGGAAUCGACAACAAUGCACAAUUCAUCGACGAAGAAUGUGGACGAAGGCGAAGGGUGACCAAGAUGGGAGAACGAAACAAGGAAGGAAGGAAAGAAAAUAUAUGAUGAAAGUAAUAGUUACUGCAAUAAGUUUAAGAAGGUGGAGAUGUCGAUAUUCAAUGGAGAUGAUCCCGAUUCUUGGCUGUUUCGCGUAGAGAGGUAUUUGCACAUUCAUAAACUUACUGAAUUUGAGAAAAUGACUGUAUCCACUAUUAGUUUUGAGGGACUAGCAUUGAACUUUUACCGUUCUCAAAGAAGAACGAGAGAACUUUGUAGAUUGGGUGAAUAUGAAGGAAAGAUUAUUUGUGCGAUUUCGAUCCGUGAGGGAGGAAUCGUUGUAUGUAAGGUUCUUGCAAAUUCAACAAAAGAAAACGAUAGAGGAAUAUCAAAAUUUAUUCGAUAAGUGGGUAGCUCCUUUGUCGGACCUAUUAGAGAAGGUGGUAAAAGAGACAUUUAUGUCGUGAUUGAAACUGUGGAUCUAGGCGGAGAUGGAUUUAUGUGAGUCGAAGGGAUUAGCACAAACGAUACGAAUCGCGCAAAAGGUAGAGAACAAGGAAGAUAUACGUCAGGAAGCAAAUCUUUCUGGAUAUUCUGGAGAAAAGGUGAUAAACUCCCAUAAUAGCACCAAGGCUAAUACCAUUGCGAAUACAGAAGAAAGUAAAGGAGGAAUGAAUUGGCCGAUGAGAACUAUUACUCUACGAGGAACAACAAAAGAGGAAGUACGGAAAGAGGGACAGGCGAAGCGCUUAUUUGAUGCUGAAUUUCAAUCUAGAAAGAAGGGAUUGUGCUUUCGCUGUAAUGAGAAAUAUUCUCAUGACCACAAAUGCAAGAUGAAAGAGCAAAGGGAAUUGUGAAUGAUUGUUGUGAAGGAAGAAGGCGAGGAGUAUGAAAUUAUUGAAGAAUGAGGAAUUGAUCAGAAAGAGUUGAAUGCCCCUGAGAUCGUAGAGGAGAGUCAGGUGGUGGUGGAAUUAUCCAUUAAUUAUGUGGUGGGAUUAUCCAACCUAGGGAAAAUGAAGGUAAAAGAGAUGAUACAAGGGAAUGUGGCUAUAGUACUAAUUGAUUGUGAAGUCACACGCAAUUUCAUUUCAGGAAAAAAUAGUGAAAGAGUUGCAACUGAGUACAAGAGAAACGUCGAAUUAUGGAGUCAUUUUGGGCUCGGGCACUGUAGUCAAAGGGAAGGUAAUUUGUGAAGAUGUUGAGUUAAUGCUGGGAGACUAGAAGGUAGUGAAUGAGUUUUUACCCUUGAAGUUGGGAGGGGUAGUUGCCAUACUUGGAAUGCAGUGAUUGUAUUCCUUGGGAACGACUGGAGUGGAUUGGAAGAAUAUGAUGUUAACAUUUACAUAUCAGGGGAAUAAGGUGAUAAUCCAAGGAGAUCCGAGCCUAACCAAGGUCAGGGUCUGUCUUAAGAAGUUUAUGAAAACAUUGGGGGGAAGAAGAUCAAGGCUUUUUAGUAAAGUGCAGAGCCUUAGAGAAAAGUGAAUCCUUAGAAGAAGAGAAUUAGUGGGAGGUCGAAUUAACAGUAGAAGAAUCAAUAUCGAUGAUCCACUGUAGGAGGAAAACUUCGAACUUCGAAACUAAGUGUACUACCAUAGAAAGGUUACCCCACUCGUUCUAGCAAGGCCUAGUUGCCACCUUUCAUACCAAAGAAAGAAAAAAGAGGCUUGUAAAUUCAAAAUACAAAAAAGUGAGACAAUCAAGAGCUAUAAAAAAAUAUUUAAUGGAACAGUUAGUAUUGUUUGCUUUGGAGUAAUACUAUGGUUGUCCAAUUUUGAGUUGAACAUGAAAUUACUUGAUGUAUAUACUCGUUCUAAAGUUGGUGUAGAAAAUGGAAUUCGACAAGUUUAGGAAAGGUACCUUAGACCAAAAAAUCAGAGAUUCGAUCUUUAUUCCCAUGUGUUGAAUUAAAAAAGGGUGGUUAAUGCUAUUUGUUUUGGGAAGCAGUUCUUUAACAAAGGUUGUCCAACUUAUGUUUGAACAUAAAAUUAUUUAUUGAUUUAAAUGGUUAAAACAGGAGGAAUGGAUGGGUGACACAAAAGAUCACAAUCCACAUAUCACUUGAAUCAAAAUCUUUUGGCAGUUUUGAUUCAAAAAACUUGUUUGUUUGCAAGAUUUACAUAUACUGUUUAGUUUUAGACAAGAUAAAUUGAUACGGUUUUAUUUUGGUACCUUUGCUGUUAGUACUUGCCAAUUAAUAUCCGACUGCAUAAUAUAUAGAUUCUGGCAUCUUGCUUGUCCUUUUGCAGCUGCACUUUGUAUAUAAAUCUUGAACUUCUCUUUCUUAGUUGGCUAUUUUCUGACAAGGAUAUGUUUUUUGUGUAUGCUUGAACUUCUGAAAAUAUCCAUAUUUUUUGUGUAUCAAAGCUGCCUACAAUGAAUGACAAUGUGGAUGUUUAUGUGCUUGAUUAUGCAGUUCCUGUGAACUAACAUAUUGAUAAUUAACUUUUGGUCUAACUGCUUCUAAUGAUAUCUAACAUAUGGAAAUUUAGAUUCUAGUAAUUCAAGUUUUGUGAUCCACAUAAUCCUUGAGUUCUGUCCCCUUGUAUUUUCUUGAAAUGAAAAUUCGAAUCAUGUUUCUAUCUAAAGUUGAAUUGCAUUAUCUUUUUUUUUUCUUGAAAAGUUAAUAUCAUAAUACAACAAGGAUGACCUCACAAGAGCGGACAAUGCUCACAAAAACAGGAAGAAUCCAAAGUAUCAAAAGAAAGAACAAUAAUAAACCCAACAAAAUUAAGAGCAACAAAAACAUAAAAAGUCCAAACAACCCCACAGCCCGAGAACAAGCAGAUAAAACAAAAAUCAAAAGAAAACAAGCUAAAUAAUACCAUGAGCAUCCUCACGCAAAUAAACAACACGAGCACUGAUACAAGAUGGAAUAAGCUGAAACAGAACAAUGAGCUCACGAGCUUGACCACCAUGGAGACAAUGAUUAUGCUCCUUUCACAUAAAAUAAAUCGUAGCACACCAGAGAACAUACCACAACUUCCUUCUCACACCCUUACCAAUACUCUAAUGACAAACCCUAAACAACUCAACCCCCCAAUACCCAAUCCUGUGAUAGCGCAAAGACACCAAGACCGACCAACACAAGAAUCGACCUCCCACAACGACCUUCCUUUUAUGAAUAUAAGCCUCCACCCAAGCAACCCAUAGAAAACUCGAACUAGUCAGCAACAACCAAAGAUUCUUCAUAGUACUCACAACAUUCUAAGAAGACGACAUCAAGAAUAGUAAGACCACCCUCCUCAAAGGAACAACACCUCAGCCCACGCUAACCUUAACACCUCCUCUACCUUCCUCCUUACCCCUCCAAAGAUAAGACCUCAAGAUUUUAUCAACCUCAUGAUGCACACUCACAGGCAGCACAAACACGUUAGCCUAGUAAACCUGAAGAUUAUCAAGCACAUAUCGAACCAGUUGCAAUCUACCUGCAAAUGAUAAAACUCUAGCAAACCAAGAAUGAAUCUGACUAGUAAUACGUUGAAUAAGAGAGCACAAUCAGUAGGUCGUUAACCUCCCAGAAAGUAAAGGAAGCCCAAGAUAACGAACAGGGAGAUGCCUGAGAACAAAACUCAAACUGGUAGUCAAACGAUAAACAUCAUCACUAUUAACCCCUACAACAAACAUAGAAAUUUUACCAAGAUUAGUAAAUAGCCCCGAGAGAUCACCAAACUUUUUAAAUUUUACUAAGAUUAGUAAAUGCCUGAGAACAAAAUGCAUUUUGAUAGCGUUAAAGUCACCCAUUACAAAACCUAACUAUGUCCAACCAGAAGAGAUAUCACCUAUAUGAAACCACAACAAACAUCUUUCAACAUUAUUAUUAGAGGCAAAAAUACAUAUGUUGGGAUUUUAUGUCCUAAAACUCGUAGUUUGUUAUCAUAUUCAGUUCAAUAAAAUCGUUAUUGAAAAAUUUAAAAUUAUAAUCUUAAAUCCAAUAAACUAAGUCUUAAUGCUAUUUUUUUACAUUUGAACUUUAUGUCGAGACAUAAACGUGGAUCAAGUUCGAGUGUAUAGCCUAAAUAGUCUAUAGUGCCUUAUUUAGAGAAACUACGGAUGUGACCCGCUUUGUAAUUAGUACAAACGAGGUGAUCCUAAAUUGUUCAUGUAGAGACAUGAAAGUGGGGGCAUCCUAUGUAAAGUACUUACAUAAGACUGAUCCAUGAAAUAGUCACUUUUACGUUAUAACACCGUUUACUGUUUAGAACUGACUAUUUCGUUUAUUGAUGACUUAGGUAGCUUAAUCUUAAUCCUAAGCUAACUAUGAACUCCUGUUCACAUGAGAUUAUCCUUACAUUUGCAUAGGUGAGGGUAUCUCAUCAACGUUCUCCCAAUAAGCCUCUCAUUUCAAGGGUAAGAUCGGAUGAAUGGCUGGGAACAUAGGAUGCAAGACAGAAUUCACUUCUACCUGUUUUAGGGUUAGUAGAUAGGUUGUUCUCUUAAGCACUGUAAAGUACUUACAUAAGACUGAAUUCACUUCUACUUGUUUUAGGGUUACAUCUGCAUAGGUGAGGGUAUCUCAUCAACGUUCUCCCAAUAAGCCUCCUAUUUCAAGGGUAAGAUCAGAUGAAUGGCUGGGAACAUAGGAUGCAAGACAAAAUUCACUUCUACCUGUUUAGGGUUAGUAGAUAGGUUGUUCUCUUAAGCACUGAAUCCAAGUCUUGAACAAGGGGCCCCACCCUCACAUUAGCCCGAGAGGGAUUAAGUUUAUAGGUUGGACCUUAAACCAAUUGUUCAAUAGUGGAUCAAUGAAACUUAAGAAAUAAGAUGUAGUCUCAAGGAUAAAACAGUAAUUUGAUCCAUUCGAGGUUACGAAUAACAUGUGAAGGAUUAACUUAUUGAUCAUGGUUAUAUUAAAUGGACAAGAAUAUAUCUAUAGUGAGGGGAGUGCAACUGCGGGACUUUAGUGGAAUGACCCGUUAGUUUACGAAUGUUGAUUAACUCGGUCUAAAAGAGUUUAACCAGUUAAUCUUGAAUCGUUGGAGCCCAUGAUAUAUAAGUCCAUUAGGUUUCCCUGCUAGUUCAUAUGGAAUAAACUUAGAACAUUGUGAUGGAAUAAGUCGAAUUGUUCGAAUUGAGAGAAGAGAGAAAUCGACAAGUAUACCGACAAGGUGCACCUUGAGGACAUGAAAGUCAUGUUAAGAAAGACUUAAAAGAAUUGAAACUUAUUACCUAUACCAACAAUGUGAACCUUUUUUUUUCGGUGGCUCGAUUAUAGGGACUUCAUAGUUAAGCGUGCUUAGCUUGAAGAAAUUCUAUGUUGGGUGACCUCUUGGAAAUUUUCCUAGGAUAUAUGUGAGUGAGGAAAAGCAUGAUGAAAGAUUUCGUGUUGGUUUGUGAAGAGGAAUUUCAUUCUAAUAAGUUUUUAAGAAUAGUAAGGAUGAUGCUGCCAGGUCGCAGGGGAUGCAGAGAAUGCUGGAGAUACGAAUUCCAAAUCCUAAGUUUAAGGUGUUACAUUUUGGUUUCAAAAACUUUUGGAAUUUUGUGAGAGGUAUAGACGUUCAUAUUCGAAUAGAUACAAAGGUAUAAUAUUUCCUAAACCCUAAUUCUUUUAAUUUAGGGUUGCAAGUUAAAUAGGUGCAAUUAGGGUAAUUUUGUAUUCCAUUUUUCCACUGCGCAUGUCUCUUUCUAACAUAGACUAUGAAGAAAGUUUCUCUAUCUUUGCCAUGCUAAAGUCAAUUAGAAUAGUCUUAUGCAUCGCCACGUUUUAUGAUUAUGAAAUUUGGCAGAUGGAUGUCAAGACAACUUUUUUUGAAUGACAAUCUUGAAGAGAGUAUCUAUAUUACUCAAUUAGAGGGGUUUAUAGAUCAAGAUCAAGAACAAAAGGUUUGUAAGAUUAAAAAAUCCAUUUAUGGAUUAAAACAAACAUCUAGAUCCUGGAAUAUAAGAUUUGAUACUAUGAUCAAAUCUUAUGGCUUUGAUACAAAAGGUUGACGAACCUUAUGUUUAUAAAAAAGGUCGUCAAUUCCAUUGUAGUAUUCUUAGUCUUGUAUGUAGAUGAUAUUCUACUUAUUGGAAAAGGACAUAGGAUUUCAUACUAAUAUCAAGAAAUGGCUAGCUAUGCAAUUUCAAAUGAAAGUUCUGGGAAAUGCACAAUACGUUCUUAAGAUCCAAAUUGUACAGAACUGCAAGAACAAAACACUAGCCAUGUCUCAAGCAUCUUAUAUAGACAAAAUGUUGUCUAGAUAUAAAAUGUAGAAUUCCAAAAAGGGUAUGCUAUUAUACAUCUACGGAAUUCAUUUGUCAAAGGAACAAUGUCCUAAGACACCUCAAGAAAUUGAGGAUAUGAGAAAAUUUUCCUAUGCUUCCGCUGUUGGAAGUUUGAUAUAUGCAAUGUUGUGUACUAGAUCUGACAUUUGUUACUUAGUAGGGAUGGUCAGUAGGUAUCAGUCCAAUCUUGGAUGUGAUCACUGGACAACCGUUAAGAAUGUUCUAAAAUAUAUUUGAAGAACAAAACACUACAUUUUCGUGUAUGGUACAAAAGAUUUGAUCCUUACUGGAUACACUCAUUAUGAUUUUCAAACUGAUAAAGAUGCUAGAAAGUCUACAUCAGGAUUAGUAUUCACUCUAAAUAGAAGAGUAGUAGUUUGGAGAAGCAUAAAACAAACUUGUAUAGUUGAUUCCACAAUGGAGGUAGAAUACGUAGCAACUUUUGAAGCAACAACAGAAGCAUUAUGGCUAAGAAAAUUCUUGACAGAUCUGAAAGUCGUUCCAAAUAUGCAUCUAUCAAUCACUUUAUACUGUCACAACAGUGGUGCAGUUGCAAAUUCAAGAGAACCUAAAAGCCGUAAACGGGGAAUACAUAUCGAACGUAAGUACCAUCUUAUCAGGAAAAUUGUACAUCGUGGUGACGUUGUAGUAACCCAGAUUUUUUCAGAGAAACUGUGGAUGCCGCCCGCUUUGUAGUUAGUACAAACGAGGUGAUUCUGAAUCGUUCCAGUACAUACAUGAAUGACCCGUUAGUUAACGAAUGUUGAUUAACUCAGUCUAUAAGAAUUUAGUCAAUUAAUCUUGAAUCAUUGGAGUCCAUGAUAUAUAGGUCCAUUAGGUUCCCUUGCUAGCUCAUAUGGAAUAAACUUAAAAUAGUGUGAUGGAAUAAGUCGAAUUGUUCGAAUUGGGAGAAGAGAGAGAAACUGACAAGUAUAUGUGUUAUAGCCAUCGAAUUUCAUAUUAGAAAUAGAGCUUUGAGUUGUUGGGCUUUAGUAUUCCAUGGACAUGCAAUUUUGCAUGGAAAAUCCUUAUAAAUAGGGUCGUUGACCUCAUUUGAUGGACUGGCUAAUGAAUUUGGGCUCUUAUACCAAAUUGGAUUUCUUUUUCUUAUUUACAUAGAAAAAAAAAUUACCAAGCCCAUUUCUUUUUCCAUCUAUUUCUUUCUCUCGGUACUGAGUCUAGAGGAUAGUAGGUGAACCCUAUUUUAGAAUAUAUUGAAGGAUGAAACGUAACUCUUUCACGGAAGUGGGGGCUCUCCACUCCUUAAUAGCUCACAACUUAUGUUCAUCCAUUCAAAUCUUUCUACAUUCGAUGAUGUGACCCAGAAAAUUGAUACGCUAUUUAGCAAAAACACUUUUCUCUUUCUUGAAAUAUAACUGAUUAUGUUGGAGCUUGUCAAAAGUCAAACUCUUCGACACGCUCUUCCAUUUGUGCGAUAGAACUUGAAGAGCUACUUCCACGUUCAAAACUACCUACUUUGGUGGUUUUAUGUUCUAACGAAUCAACCCUCAACGCCAAUUCAUUUAUGGGUAGUUUGUCUAUUUAGGCAUUCAAUGCGUCUAUUUCUCUGACUUUUUCUUUAAACAUCUCAAGUUAGGUCUGGAGAAAUCUUACUUCCUUUGGCAAUUCUUUCAUAUCCAAGAAUUCCUCUUCAAUCUCAGUCAGUCGCUCAGAUUGCAACUUUGAUAGUUGUUUCAUUGUCGACAUAAUUGCAUCUCGCUUAGCCAAGGAGCUAAGAAAGCUUUAAUACCACUUGUCACAAAAUGCAACUUUUCAAAUACGGGACGGGCGAUUGUGCAACACUUGUUCUAAAUUGAUGAACAAGGCAACCUUGUGAAAUUUGAAAGUUGCGGAUAAACUCAUGGUACGAUGUAGCCUCGCUUCAUCUUUUGAGAGAAAUUGGUUGUAUAAAACGUGAGAGAUAAAGAAAAACAUUGAUAACAUCCUUAAAGAAAAAAUUGAAUAUUGUCAAUUGCAAAGAAAGCUUAGAUUUGCAAAAAUCACAAUAGGGCUUAGUUGGGGAUUCAACUACCAUGCCUCCCCUACAAUACAUCUUAAACUUUUUUAGCAUUGACAACAUUGCAUAUGAAAAUUGCGAAACGACGCACCUUAGGUCGGUGACAACAAAAGGAAAGCAGUUGACUAAACUAAGUACAAAGCAUAAAGAUAAAGUGGUUUGAGGAUAUACGAGCAUACGACCAUAGGCAAAUAAUGCCUUGGACAAGCACACUUGUGACACUCUGCGUGCCACAAUCGCAAUCUUUCAAACAUGGAACGGACAAUUGUAGAACACUUGUUUUGCUCAGUCAAUAAGUCAGUCAUGUAAAAUCCGAAAAUCACGAACAAACUCACGAUAUGAUAUAACCUCCCUUCCCGUUCUUGAAAAAAUUAUUUUAUAAAAUGUGAGAGAGAAUAUCAUUAAAAACAUCAUUAAAGAAAGCGUUGAAGACUUUCAAUUGCAAAUAAAAAUUUGAUUAUAAAGAAUACGAUAAGACAUGGUUGGGGAUUCAACUAUUGGGUCUCUUCUAUAGUACAGUUUAGACUUUUUGAGCUUUGACAGGUUUGCAAAUGAAAAUGUGUGACACCUCACACCCUAGGUCUAUGACAUAAAAAGGAAAGCAAUAGACUAAACUAAAUACAAGACAUAAAGAAAAGGUGAUUUGGGGGUAUUUGGGCAUGUGGCCAUAGAUAAACAACGCCUUAAACAAGCAUGCUGGUGAGAACAGAAGCUUAUAGUUAGCUCAGUAUUAAGAUUAAGUUAUAUUUGAUAUCUAUCAAUGAAAUAGUAAGUUUUUCAAAGUUAACGGUGUUAUAACUUAAAAGUGACUAUUUCAUGGUUCUAGUCUUUUGUAAACUCUUUACAUAGGAUGUCCACACUUUCAUGUCUCUAGGAUUUAGGAUCACAUCGUUUAUACUAAAUACAAAGCAGACUGCAUUCAUUGUGUCCUGGAAUAAGGUGCCUAACUGUAUUCGUACAAUCUAUACUAUUUAGGCUCUAUACUUAAACUUGAUCAACUUUUAUGUCUCUACAUAAAGUUCAAGUUUACUUAAUAAUAACUUCGGGUCCUUAGUUUAUUGGCUUUAAGAUUAUAGUAUCAAUAACGACUUUAAUGAAUAGAUUAUGAUUACAACGAGUUUUAGGACAUUUAUUACAACAUCUAGUUCUUACAACUUUUGAUUCUAGAGUGUCAACUCUUGUCAACAACUCUUAAAUGGGUAAUCCAUCGAGAUGAUCGAUCAUUGCAGCAAUAGUGUUAGUGAUAUAUAUUAAACCACCAAUUGUACGUCUGUAAUUAUCAUAAAAAUAAUAAAACUACAAACACAAUGCUUUUCUUUCGAUUCUUACGUUUUCACGUAAGCUUUGGUUUCGUAUAUAUUGCUUUCAAUAUGGUAUUAGAGCUCAUUAAGCCUAAACGGAUAUUUGGUUCAAGAUAGGUGAAACCAAAGAGGCACCAUCUUGAAGGGGCAUGUUCCCACAAUUGAAAAACCAAGGAAACUUAGACUCCUUAUAAAAUAGAUGAGCUACUCCUCUCAUUGCCAAUUGGUAUUGUGAUGAAACCUCAUACUUUGGUAAUAUAUAAUUAAAUUUACCUUCAACCACUAGCUUAAGCUUUUGGGUGAAUUUGGGGUUUAAUAUGGUAUUAGAGCAGGUGGUCCAAAAGGUCUUAUGUUCAAGUCCCUGUAUUGGUGUUUCCUUCCCAAUUAAAAUUGAUUUUCACUUGUUGGACCUUUUAGAUAUUUCGAACCCAUAAGUGGGGGAUUGUUAGUGAUAUAUAAUUAAAUUUACUUUUAAUCACUAGCUUAAGAUUUUGGGUGGUGGUUUAAUUAAUAGCAUCAGCUUUCUAAAAAAUUUCUUCAAGGCGGGUUUCCAAGAAGCGAAUUGAGUUAGGAACUUUCAUUAGGUAGAGCAUUUGCUCUUCAACCUUUACCAGUCGGUCCACAUGGGCCUUGCCCAACUAUUUUGUUAUGGACAUGUUUACAUUUUAACCGUUAAUAAGCCAACUUAGGCUAUCACACCCCACCACGAGCACCUACUUGCGUGGCUCGAGAUAUGGCGUGAAGCCAAUCGAUAGCACCCACGUCAAGAACGACACUAUCUGACCCUUAGCCUGAACCUUUAAACUCUAAACAACAGCGGAAACAUAACACAUAAGUUUUACUAAAACCAAUUGGGCUAAACCUUUUUCAUUUAACAACCUUAGACAAGUUUUACAUAGAAAAAACGUAAUCUUAUUUAUCUAGAACAAAACCUUAUAAAACCUUUCCAAAAGCAUAAGUCUGAUAGCACAAAAGACUAAUUUACCAUUAGUACAAAAUAACAGGACACAUACGAUAACAAAAUGAAAUCCUUCAGUAGACAGGUUCAAGUUAGGCUUAGAGGACACGAUCUCUACCUAGAAAGUGGGAAAACAUUUUGAAUAUUAUGCAUUUUGAAGAGUAAACAAUAUGCUUGAAUAAAUACCUUUAAACAAUAACACGCUUGAAAGACUUUUCAUAACAUAACUUAAACAUUUUAGCAUAAAUCCGUCAUAAAUCAUGACUUAAGAACAUGCUUGAAAUCACUUUAAAUAAAACAUUUUCCACUCAAAGAUACAAGCUCAAAUCCUUGGUUUAUAAAUUUGUAUGAUCUUCUCAUGUCCUGAAAUAAUGGUAAAAUAGUACAAUUAAUUAUCUUUUGCCAAGAAAAUAUCAAAAGUAUACUUAAAAAACUCAAAAAAUUACCAAAUAGCUCAACACGCAAUAUGACACUGCCUGACACGAAUGGGUGGGCGGCAGGGCCUUGGUUGGGCGCUGGCUAGUGUGUGUGAAUCUCACAAGAGGCUUUUCACGCGCGUUGGGCAUGCCCGCGUGCUAACCUCACACACAAGCACAUUGUGAACCUCACUUGGUUGCGUGCUUGGCAUUUCGUGUAGCCCUCCUCGUGUGCAUUCUUGGCUAGUGCAUUUCUUGUGUCACAAUCGCGAGCUUUCAAACACGAGAGGAGCGAUUAUGUUGCACUUGUUUUACGUAGACAACAAGUUAGCUGAUCAAAAUCCAAAAACCACGGACAAACACAUGAUACGAUGUAGCCUCUCUUCACGUUCUUGAGAAAAUGUUUUAUAAAACGUGAGGAGAAAGAAAUUCAAUGAAAAUAUCGUUAAAGCAAGCAUUGAAGAUUGUCAAUUGCAAAGAAAAACUUUGAUUGCGAAGAGUGCAACAAGGCUUGGGCAGGGAUUCAACUACUAUGUCCCAUCUAUAGUACAUUUUAGACUUUUUUAGUUCUGGUAGGCUUGCAUAAGAAAAAGCCAAGUCACACCCAAGGUUUAUGACAUAAAAAGGAAAGCAAAAAGUAAAACUAAAUACAAACAUAAAAACAAUGUAAAUUUUGGGUGUUUGGGCAUGCGGCCAUAAGCAAACAGCGCCCUGGACAAGCAUGCUUGUUACAUUCUCCCGCUCUUAAACAAUUGGCGUCCCUGUCGACUGGGUAUACCCUUCAGCACAUUCCUAACGUGUUUCUUCCGCAUGGAGGUUCUUUCACUUCAGUAGGAAUUCAUGUAUCCUCUUCAUGGGUAUACCCUUCCUCACUCUCUUAGGAACGAUUUCUUCCAUUUCUUUAUCGUCUUUCUGCUUUAGGUCACUAGAUGACCAUACACCAUUGUUGCACUACUGGUCAUCUGGAUCUUGAUGGUAAGGUUUCAAGUUGCUCACAUGAGCUACUAGAUGAUUUUUUAUCCAUGCAGGCAACGAUACCCUAUAUAAUGCAUUUCCAAAUUUCUUCAAAACUUCAACAGGCCCUUCGUAUUUUCUGGUGAGAUGUUGAUGUUGAUGUCCUCUAAAUCAAAUUUGCUUUGCUUUAAACUCUAUGAAGAGUUGGUCUUCCGCUCAAAACUUGAGAGGAUGAUGCUUCUUAUCAUACGCUUCGAGACUUUCUCUUAGUAUGCUCGAGCGAUGUUCGUAGUCUUCUCCCACGUUUUCGUAAAGUUAUGAGCUUGAGGAUUUUUUCCUGCAUAAGGAUGAUCAACAAUAUGAGGCAGUAUAGGUUGUCUUCCACUCAAGAUUUCGAAAGGACUCGUUCUUGUGGAUAGACUAGUUUGUGCAUUAAAACAAAAUUGAGCCACAUCCAUCAACUAGGCCCAAUUCUUUUGUCCAGAAUCAACAAAAUAUCGUAGAUAUUCCUUAAGCAUACAAUUGAAUCCUUCAGUUUGGCCAUUCGUCUGAGGAUGGCAGCUUAAGGAUAUAUUUAGGCGUGUCCCCAAGAAGGCGAAUAGUUCGGUCCAGAGAGUACCAAUGAAUCUACCAUCCCUGUCACUCACAAUGCUUGAUGGAACUCCUCAUAACUUCAAGACGUUCUUAAAGAACAAGUGUGCUAUCAGCUCGACAGAACAUAGUUUUGUAGUGGGGAUGAAGGUAGCGUACUUCGAGAACCAAUUGAUUAUAACCAAGAUGCCUCAAAGUCGUUCACCUUUGGGAUGUGUAAUAAAAUCCAUGGAUUUCGCACAUUCAGGGAAUUUCAAUGUGUUGCGACUGACUUUCCAAAGUUAGUUGAAGCUGUAGGAUUUCGGACAAACACUUUUGGCCAAACAAAGAGCGGAAAACUCCACACUUCCCUAAUCCUACUCUUCCAGCUCCUUGGCUCAUACAGCCUCUACGAUCUCUAAAUACUGAUAGGCCCAUGGUAGUGAAGGUGUACACCCGUAGGCACAAGAAAGGAUUCAGGAGAGGAGGAUGGGAAGCUGUAUUUGUUGGUCUGAAUGUUGCUAGUUAAGGGGGCCAUGAGUCUUUUAUGCUUUCAUAUAAAUGCUAUUAUGAUUGUUUGGGGAGGGUAUGUUUUGGCAUAGCUUGUAUCAGGUUUCUUAGAAUAAUUGGAGAGCUAGAGAAGCUUCUGAUUCCUUCCCUCCAUUAUUGAUAAAUAAAAUUGAGGUUAAGGCUUAUCAUAUACAUACCUAGUCAUUGAACUUCUCCAUAUUCCUUAAGAGGCAUAUCUUGCUUGGCUUAUUUGGCUGGCUCUACUCAUGUAGGAUUUCAAAAGGCGAAUCUGACAUCCUGCCAAAAAUGAUUAAUCAGUUUCUUUAACUGUUGAACUUUUAGGUUGUAUACUAGCAAGCACAUGAAGUUUAGGGAUUCAAUCUUUAUAUUAUUUUUAAGAGUUAUUCAAUAUCCCUACCUAAAAUAGACAAAUGAAGCUUGAAACUACCCAUAAUAUUAAUGUUGUUGUUUAAUUAUGACAUUUUGUGAUCGGUCUUUCUAACUUACGAAUAUCCAUCUUCUGAUAUGUGUUCACAUGCAUAUUUUAUGGAUGUAGAUUUUAUAGUAUUUCUUUAUUUAUUUUAUAUGGCAUUAGUUGUAUACUUUUUUUAUAAAAUAUUAAUAUAAAUAUUAAACCACCGAUUCACCAAAAUGUUUAAGCUGGUGGUUGAAAGAAAAUUCAAUUAUAGCCUUAAGCUUAAGCUACUUUGGUGGACUAGAAAGUAUAAUCUUAGAAACACUCAAUCUGAUCAAGUUCUCUGAAGCAAGAAUUAAAGUUCGGAAAAAUCUUUGCGGAUUCUUACCAGCAACUAUAGAAUUAAAGAGUGAGAACUGAGGAAAUUUUUCCCUUAAUUUUGGGGAUUUUGAACCCUUAGAAGCUCCUGUAAUAAUCCAAUUUGAUCUAUUUCAAAGUGAUUUUUCCAAUCCUAUUGAUUUAUGUAGAAUAAAUUCAGUGAUUUUAGAUGAAGGGCUCCAAAGUGAUGGUCUCCCAGAUACCUGAAUUUUCUCAAACAGAAUGCCCCAUCCAUCUCAAGAAAUCCUUUCGAAGCACUUAGGAAGUUGGGUGAGGAAGAAGAAAACCUUGUUCGACCGGAAAAAAUAAUUUUCAGAAGGCAAAGAGAGAAAAACAGACCUCGAAAGAAGAAAAGACAGGCACCCAAGCAUUUUAUUAUCUAAAAAAAUAGCUCACCUAGCCCUCCCCAACCAGAUUUUUUCAAACUUAAUGUAUCUGCAGAUAUUUUAAAAGCUGACACACAGAUGGUAGGCCCCAAGAAUUUUAUUAAUCAGAAUUCCAAUGGCUUUUGGUAUUCUGACGAAUUGGAGGAAGAAUCAGAGUCCUCUCCUCCAUCAAGGAACUUCACUUGCGGGCCAUCUCCUGUUUUCAGUUCUCAACCAAAAUUACCAGCCUCUCCCAAGACUAAAAUAUCCUCUGCAAUGAAAGCUAUUCCAAUUCAUGCCAGAAAUUUUUCUAAGCACCUCAAGACCUAUACCAAAGGGAGAACUUCUUUUCGCAACAUUUGGAUGAGCUUGGCUAAUUCUGAUUUAUUAGAGGAAAGUUGUGUGAAGAUACAAAUUCCAAAUUCAGUUGGCAAAAGGUCAGUACUGCCUUCCUCCUUAAGUAAUAAAUUUUCUCAAUCCUCCUCCAAACUUUCUGGUUCAUUCUUUAAUUUUGUGCAAGAUACUUCUUGUCUCAAAAAAGUUAAGAACCUAGAAGAUGAAUUCAUGGAAGUUGAAUCAGUCACCAGUGUAAGUAGUGCAGAAUUUGAACCAGUUGAGGAAGAAAUAAUUCAAUCAGAGACAGAGAAACAAGAGGACAGUGACUCUCUCGAUUCAGAUUUUAUUAAAUUGUUUUCCUCCCCAUAAAAAGAAAUUUUGUGCAGAUCAGCAAGUAUCCUUCCCCCUCAAGAGUUGGUUCCUUUCUUGGCAGCAUGUGAAACUGAAUUGAUAUAAGGCAGAGGUAGCAAAGAUGGAGAUUAUAUCAUGGAACACUAGAGGAUUCAUGGGCCAUUCGAAACAAUUGGCUAUUAAAAAUCUUUUGAAGAAAGCUAAUCCAGAUAGAGCAUUGAUUCCGGAGACCAAAAGAGAAGAGAUUGCCAGUUGUAUUAUAAAGGCACUAUGGAGUUCAAAAGGAAUUGGUUGGGUCUUUGUUUGAAGCUAGUGGCAGAUUAAGAGUUUUGCUGAUUAUGUGGAUAAAUAUAAGUUGUCGAUUAUUGAAGUUCGGUCAAGAGAAGGAAGGUCAUUACAGUGUGGCUUAUAAGUUGUUUCAACAUUAAUUUAUAAGUUGUUUGGAAAGGUUCUCGCAGAAAGAUUAAAGAAAGUCAGGCCAGGUAUUUCUUUGUAAGACCUCCUAUUAUCUAUACCUAUGAAAGGAAGGGUAGAAAGGGAAAUUCCUUAGCAACCAAUGAUGAGAGAAUAAUGGGAGAGGAUCCUGCAGGUGGGGCCCACCAGGAGGGAUGAGAGAGAGAGGUAUAAAUAUGUAAUGUUGGGGUAGGGGAGGCUAGGUGUUUUUUGGUUAUUUCAAGGAGAGUAAAGGCUGCUGUAGCCUGAGGGUAUCCAGCCCCGUAUAAAGGAGCUGGGUAAGUUUUCUAUGUUGUUCUUCCUUUAUUUUUCAUAUCUACUACUGUUGACUGUGUUUUGGCUUUUACAUAAAUAAAGAAUUACAGGGUGCUGCCUCUGUUUAGCCAUUUGGUUAGGAUAUUUUGUGUUUUAUUGUUAGAAUCCUAACAUACUUCUCCAUUACAAUGUGGCUUUCUGGAAGAGUGCCAAAUCUUGGAUCCUAUUUUAAUAGCAAAAGAAACUGUGGAGGUAUAUAGUAUCUGAAAAAAGAAAAGAUGGAUCAUUAGAUUAGACCUUGAAAAGGCCUUUAACAGAGUGGAUUGGAAAUUUUAGAAAAUGUAAUGCAAAAGAAGAUCUUCGACGUAGGAUAUUGUGUUAUAUUGGCCAGCCUUUACAGCAUCCCCACUUUGAAGUCUUUGAUGAUCAGGACUUUCGGAUCAGCCCUCUUCUUCAAAUAGUUUUUGCUCAACCAAUCAAGGCUUAUUCUUCUUUGUUCUCAGCAUGCUGCCUUUGAUUAUGAUUUUGCUUUGGAAAGAUUCUUUUUAUCAUUUUGUUUGUCUUUGUUUUUGUGGCUUUUUGUUUUGAUCUUGUGUUGUCGCUUUUUGGAUGUUUUGAGGGCACUAAGGGGGUGUCAACCUAGUUUGAGAUGCCCGGAUGCGCCUAUUGAUCUUCCCUCUCCCCUUUUGCUCUUUGUAUAAUCCUCAUGUACAUUGAGCUUUGUCUCUUUCUUUAUAUUAAUAAUAGUGAGACUCGUAUCCUUUUUUAAAAAAAGAAAGAAAAUUCAAUUAUAUAUCACCAACACUCUCCUCACUUGUGGGCUUGAAAUAUUUGAAAGGCCCAACAACUGGAAAUGGAUUUUAAUUGGGGAGGAAACGACAAUGCGAGGCUUGAAGACAAGACCUUCUUGGACCACCUGCUCGGAUACCAUAUUGAAAGGGAGACAAACAAACACACAACUUUACGUGGAAACCUGUGUACCAGGAGAAAAACCACUAUAUUUUUCUUCUUAUUAUUUUCUGAUGAAAAAUACAAUAGGUACAAGGGAGAAUAAAUAGAAUAUACAGAGGAAUAAAAAAGGAAAAUAUUUAGGAAUUAAGAAAAAUAUUCCCAUAAACUUUUCGUAAAUAUUCUAAGAUUCUAACAAUAAAAAGUUCUAUUUAUUCCAAAUUGUGACUGCUCUAAUGUGCAUUUGUUUUCUGAUUUAGAUGAUUGAGGAGCUUGGUGGUUCUCUCACUGCUUAUGGGAGUACAAGCACUCAUGUCAUUACAGGAAAAGUGCGGAAAACUCUAAAUUUUUGUAUUGCUCUCUUUUCAGGGUUAGUCUUCCAACCUUAGACGAACACUCUUCUAUGUGUCCUUUUGGCCUUUGAAUACCGAUAAUCAUCUCAUUUGCACCAAAGUUAGCGAUUCCAUGCACACAAGGCCUUUGCCGUUAUUCUUCCAUUGGCUCGUAGUUGUGUUUAGGCUGGAAAUUGUUGUGAACCUUCUAGAUCUAAAAGGGCAUAGUUUCUUAUUCUACUGCCUGUUUACUUUUAGUUAAACAUCAAAAUCAAUUCUUAUAUUUGAGUUGGAUUGUAUCAUGCUCUUCCUUUUCAGUUGUUUCUAUCAUGAUGGUGGGUAGUGGUUGUUAAGACAACCAUUAGGCUAAUUUGGGUUUCAGGCUUACUUUUCCCAUUUUACGUGUAAAAUGGCUCAAGCUCACUAAUGAAAGAUAUUUGUUGGCUAGCUAGUGUUUUUAUCCUCGAUUUCCUUCUUCCCCUAAUACAUUAUGUUAUGGAAUUUGUUAGAUACCUAGAUUAGUAUAGGGUUGGGGUAUAAGGGUAAUUAGAGUUAUUGUGUAAGUGUGGUUACUAGUAGUUAUUAUUUAAGUGUGGUAACUAGGCUGGUUACAUGUUAUUAUAAAUGGAGGGAGGGUAAGUGGGGAGAAUUCUGGGGAGUGAUAUAAGGCUUGGGUGAGAGUACUCAAGAGGGAGGGUUCCAAUGCUUUAUACUUGGUUUUAUCUUGUAUUUUCUUAUAGUUACAUUAUAAUAAAUUCAGAUCUUGUUCUUGUUAGGAAGCAUAUGUCUCCAAUAUUAUUUAAAUACAGUAGAAGAAUUAAAAAGGGUAAUAUUGACCCACACGAGAAUAUAGGAGAGAUUAUAGGAGGAGAGAAUAUUGGAGGAGAUCUUUCCCAUUAGUUUGUUAGUAAAGCAAAAUAAAAGGGAGGAAAGAGGAGGGAGAAAGGGGACAAAAUAUUCCAAAGAAGUAGAGGCUGCCGUCUUUCAUGCUCGGGAGAAGUAGAGGGUCCAAGUCAAGUUCUUUUUAUUGUUUGUUUUGGUCAUUUUCAUGGUUGCAGUUUGUUCUUAGUUUUUCUUGUUCUUUGUUGUGAUCCUCACUGGAGUGUGCCUUUAGGAAGUAGAUGUGAGUGAUUUUUUAUUCUCUAUACUGUAAUUCGUUGAGGUAAUUCAAUAAAGUAAGAUGCACUUGCCGUAUAUUUACAGUAUCUUAACAAAUUGGUAUCAAAGCGAUUUUACUUGGGAGAACGAUAGAGCAGCACAAAAACGGAUCGAAGAGAAGUUGGAGACCUCUGAUAAGGAAAUCUCAGGGAUACAAGUUCAGUUACACAAGUUGCUGGCAAUUGAAGAAAACUUGUUAUGCUUGCCAAAAAGCAUCGAAAGACUAGUCAUCUAGUUGGAAAAACAAGAACGGUUGCUAAAUGCAUCAAAUGAAUAGCAGAAGGAUAAUUCGACAAUCUCCGGAAGAAUGGAAGGAUCAUCGAGCAAAGGACAAACGAUUGAGAGUAUCAUCGAAGGUGGAGGUAAGACAUUGAAGGAAAUCAAGGUAGAAGGUAAAACAAACAAGUUUGAAAUGGAUGAAAACUCGAACGAUCAUAGCAAAUUCAAGAAGGUUGAAAUGCCUGUGUUCAGUGGCACUGAUCUGGAUUGUGUUUAUUUAGAACGGAUUGGAAUCUUCAGGUCCAUAAAUCGAUGGAUUCCAAGAAGUUGCUAAAUCCAUAGAAGAAUCGAGGAAAACAUGAUUGCAACGGUUAUACAACGAAGGUGAAGAGGAUGGCAAAGAGUGACCAAGAAGAAACUAUAGAGGAAGGUCGACGAGGAUUACCUGUGAGGCUCGAAAUGAAGACUCGAGUGAAGAAAAAUUUGUUGCUCAAAGAAACACAAAAUGGCUGGUUGCAAUGGAGAAAGAAGAAGCCGACAGUUGCCGGUCUACAGAGGCUCGAGAAGGUGGUCUGGAAUAGGGGUGAAUCACGUGACGAGGAAGAAGUUGUUGCACACAUUGAUGGUGCCAAUUGACGUGGUUAGAAAUUGGUAGGAAAGAGGAUUAAGACAAAAGUAACAAUCUUGGGUUUUACUAUUUCAAGUGGGCUUCAACUUACUCUAAAUAAGCUUCAACUUAUUCUAAAUAAAACAUUGGGGGCACAUCAUUUUGUAGAUGAAAUGGGUGGAGAGUUCCAAAAAUAGGAGGGAAGAAAAACGUGUAUGUAGGUGGGUCCUAGGAAUGAAACCGGCGGCAGUAUGAUUUUGGUCUUGACGCAACACUUUGAUUAUGGCCUAGCCCAAUAGAGAUGAAGAGUUUGAAAAUUAAACACUUGUUGGUGAUAUGCAAAGGGUUAACUAAGACAAUGUGUUUUGGAAAAGGAAAAUUCAAGUACAUUGGGCUGCUUUGUGGGCUGAAGUCAAUGGACCUUAUUGGAAUCGAGAGUUUUUCAAAGCCGAAGGGGAGGAUUUCUUUUUCAACAUUGAAGAGCAGAAUGCUGGGGAUUGUUUGCAAUUAAAAAGAGAAAAAAAGAGAAAGGGGCCUUGAUCAUGUUUGUAAGCACACCUUGAGGACAAGGUGUUUUGAAGGAUCGGGUAAUGUUAGAUACCUAGAUUAGUAUAAGGUUAGGGGUAUAAGGGUAAUUAGAUAUUUAGAAAGUUACUAGUAGUUAUUAUGUAAGUGUGGUUACAUCUUAUUAUAAAUUGAGGGAGGGUAAGUGAGGGGAGAAUUCUGGGGAGUGAUCUAGGGCUUGGGUGAGAGUACUCAAGAGGGAGGUUCCAAGUGCCUUAUACUUGGUUUUAUCUUGUAUUUUCUUAUACUUCAUUAUAAUAAAUUAAGAUCUUGUUCUUGUUAGGAAGUAUCCUAAUAGAAUUCCUCUAGAAGGUCUCAUGUUAGCGAAUGAUAAUCUGCGUUAAGUGUGUAUUUGUAGGAGUUCUUCUCCCGGGCAUCUAUGGUUGAUAUUCUUUACCUUUCAAUAUAUCAAAGCCAAGGAUUCUUUUGCAUUUCUCUAUGCUUUUUCUUUACCCAUUUAUGCUUUUUUCAGUUAUAUUUGAGAGUAGUAUUUCAUUUCUUUCAUGUGAAAUGUUGAACUUCAGUAGUGUGGAGAGUGGAACGUAAUAUCUUACCUUUUAUAUUAGUAAACUUGAUUUUAAGCAAUGUGUUUUUGAAGAUUUUAUGUUGUAGAAUGUUUUUUGUUCUUCACGCUACUGUUCUUAACUUUAUUUUCUCCUGUUAAUGUUCUCAAUGAUUAUCGAGCAUAUGCAUUACCAUGUGGCUUCAAGCGUGUCAGUGUGCUCUUGCUCAUAAUUUUUACUAUAUCUUGUUACUAAAAUUGCAAGUUAAUUGCAAAUUACUCAGAGCUUGGAUUUUCUCCUCCAGUUGGUUAAAGGAAAGCUACCGGGAAGGUAGAUUUGUUGGUAAGUUCGAAUGGCUUGCUAGUAUCAAAGCGUAAUGUAUUUUCUUCCACUUAUGUUUUUCAUCCUACCUAAUUUUUGUGAUUGAUUAAUUCCUUAUUGAUCUGUAGACGAGUUGCCUUACAUACUAAAUGAUGAUGACUACAUAUCGAAGUAUCGAGCCAGCCUAAAAGCUACAGUUCUCAGGGCAAAAGCAUGUCCUGGAGCUUUAUUUGAAGGGUAUAAUGUUUGCAUAUCAGCUCACGCUCAACCACCACCUAAAACUCUAUCCUUGAUACUCAAGUCAGCCGGUGGAAAUGUAAGUUCUCUGUUAUUAUACAAAUCUCGAGUACUAGGUUUGGUUCUCUAUAUUACAUAUACAACCACUAUAAUAUGGCUAUCCUCCCAUCUAAUGAAGAUGUGAAGUUCUCAACAAACAAGCACGUAUAUGAAUUCUAGACAUGGGUCAAUAAAUCAUAGACAUGGUGACGUGCCAUUUUUUUCUAAAAAAUAUAGGAUAGCGCUAGAACACAGUUUUAAUAUAUAUAAUUUAAAAAGUAUGUAUCAUAUUUAUAUAGAAAUUCAAAGUCAAUAAGUUUAUGUAUUUAUAUGCUUAAAAAUAAGCUUGUCCUUCACUCAAAACUUAUUCAAAGCCAAGAGUUUAAUAUGUGUGUGUGACCAAUCUUGACCUUUAUUACAUUGGAAUACUUGUUGUCUAACACAUCUACUGUACUAACUAGUGUUCAACACGUGUUCUCCGAGUGUUCCAUACAUAUUGUUUAUUGAUACACUAGCCAAACUUGAGUGUAUGUGCUUCUUAAGUCUUUAAUAUUUAUGUUUGUUUUGAUCCUAGGAAUUGAGCAUGUAAUGUAAAAAGUCUAUGCACAAGGGGUCAUAUGGCCAUCUCCGUGUUUCUUUAAUUAUCAAAUUUGUUCAAGUUUUUAAUUGUCUCUAUAUCGAAAUCUGGAGUUAUUUUUUGUGAUUUGGUGUACAAAUACAUACAUCCAUGUUUCUAAUUAUGAUUAGAUUGUUUUCUUGUCGCAACAUUUUAUUGUUUAGCUUGUCUUUGAUCUUGAACUUACUAAAAUAACAUAUUUUCAAAAUUAAUUACUGUAAUAGUUAAACAAAAGAUUCUUUCCCUUAGAACUUUUAAAGUUUGUCUAGUUACCUCUUAAACCUUUCAAUUGUUUAAUAGGUCUUUCAAUUUUAUGUUUUAAGUGUCUAUAAAUUUUGAUUUUUUUAUUUAAUAGAUAUAAAUCUGAAGAAAUGAAUAAAGUAGAUUUGUAAGUUUAAAAUAGUUUAAAAGUUGAGAAAUUAAAUUUGUAGUUGAAAAAGUUGGAGUAAAUAGUUUGUGUUAAGUCGGGUUGUGAUAUUUUAUUUAUUUAUUUUAAUAAUAGAAGAGAGGGAGACGAAAACUGCUAACUGAAGGGAGAAGAAGCGGUGGCUGACUUUGUAUAUUUCUCCUUUCUUUUCAAAUUGAGAAAAUUUCUUUGCAAUUCACUUUGAAAAGGAAAUGAAUAUUUCUCCCUCAGACUUAUCUCUCUCUUCUUUUCAAUUUAUUUUCAAUUUUUCUGUGUGCUUCUCACAGUGUAUGCAUAAUCUCUCUUUCAUUUUGAUCUUCAUCUCCAUUUCAAAUAUCUCCCACACAAAGAACAAAGAAAUGAGUAAAGUAACUGAGAGAGCAUUUUGUUUUUCCCUUCAUAUGGUUGGUUACUUUUUGUCAAUUAAAUGAAAAGUGAAGAAUAAGAUAAGAUUUUCUUUACCCAUUUGCCAUCAUCAUCAAAGCUAUUUACCUCAUUUUUGUUCACACACACACAACUUCAUUUUGUUGGAUUACACUCAUUUGAGAAAAUAGCAAAAUUUUAUUAGAAGAAUAGCAAACAUGAGCAUUUCACGUGUUUUGAAUUUUCAUUAACCCUAAAAUCCCCUCGCCUGCUUUUUAGUUAAACUGUAACUAAUUUUGAAAUAUGCAAAAUUUUAGCAUAAAUAUUGAUUUUCUCCUACAUUAUCUUAACACACUUUUUUUUCUCCAAAUAUUGGAUUUGUAUCAAAUCUUUAUUUUCAAAUUUUACUUUAUCCAAAUUUUCAUUUUUCAAAAUUUCAUCGUUAUUCUACUUUUAUUUUUUUAUUUCAUAUAUAUAUUUAUAAUAUUUAAUCUUAUUUUUUCUCUUUUCCUAUUCAUCUUCUUCCUUUCUCUUCCUCUUCAACCUACGGCCACACCACCAUCUCUUUUCUUCCUUCUCUUUUCCUUCUCCAAUCAACUUCACCACCGUCUUCCACCUACACCGAACGUCAAGCAAAUUUUGUCCUAUCGUCGCAUCACCGUUAGCCCGAGUCACUCCGGUUCCGUCACGCCAUGUAUGUUUAGAUCUGAAUUGUUUGGUUAUUUGUUGCACCGAUCCGUCUCCGUUAGAAUUUGAUUCUCCACAAUUUGGGUAAGUUAUGGAAUUUACAUAUAGAGUGAAUUGAAUGGAUUAAAUUGUUUGUGGAAGUGAUUGAUUUCUCUUCAAUUAUGUUUAGGUCGGUUCGUUGCACUUUAGUUUGAAAAAGAAGCUUAAGUAAGGUUAUAAGGUAAGGAAUUCUCUACUACUGGACUUGCCUAUAGUUUUGAAUUGUGCUGUCUGUAUAGUUACCUCCGAUUGAGUAAAGAUGUUGAAACGAUAUAUAUAUGUAUGGAUGUAGACUUGGUGUUGAAUGUAUGCUGUGAAUGACUGAAAAAAAAAUAUAUACAUGGAUUGAUGUAGACUUGAUGUUGAAUGCAUAUUGUGAUUGUCUGGGAAUACAUAUAUAUAUGUAUGGAUGUAGACAGGACGACAAUUGUAGAUUGUGUUUGUAUGGAAUGUGGAUGUGAACUUGUGAUUGUCGUUUAGAUUGGGUGUAGGUUAUACUAAAGUAUGGUUGCGUACUGAUGAAUUGAGGGGUGUUAUGACUAUAUAGUUUGAUUGACUGAUGUAUUGAUAUGUUACUGGCGGACAUUGGGCUAAAGUGAGAUAGGUUGACUAUUAGGGUGUUAAGUGAAAGGAUUAUAUGUUGAAGUAGCUGGAUUGUACUAUGAAUUAGUGUUAAGAUGUUUAGAAUGGAUUGAAAAUUGUUAGAUUUCUAUUGGGUAGUUACCUUGCAGGUGUCCUACGGGAUCACCACCUGAUAUGUUCAUCCUUCGAUAGCACUAGACUGAUAUGUGCAUCCUUCGGGAGCAUUAGACUAAUAUGUGUUUCUGCGAAACACUAGACUGAUUUAUGCGUCCUUUGAGGCGUUAGACUGAUUAUGUGUAUCCUAUGGGAUCACAAGACUGUGACUGUGCAGGGUACCCCAAUAGGAAGUUAACAGUUUCUUUUUCCCCUAACGGGACCAAUAGCGGGUCUCUUAUUGGGUAUGUUUAUACUCAUCCUUUCAUGUUUAACUAUUUCAGGCAAAGGUAACAAAUGAGGUAGACCGACGAGGGACAAGAAGGAGACGUGAUUGCCAUAAGGGAAGGUCCUUCAAAUGCUUCCGCUUUAUGUUUCUUGUUUUUCCUUUGUACAUGAGGUUGUUUAAAAAUUUUGUGAUGGAACUGAGUUUACAAACUGUUGUUUUGUGAAUAGUACUUUUAAAGUUUUGGUUAUUUGAAAUAGGGCCCAAACUUAAGUUUGUUUUCUUUGAUCGUAUGAUUUCAAGUGAAUUUUACUAUAUUUUGUGUCAAUCAAGGUCUCUUUGUCAAAAUUAAUGACUUCAACUUAGUUAGAAAAGUUGGGUCGUUACAACAAAUUUUAAGUAUUAAUGUAAGAAUUAUGUACUUCAUUAUAAAGGUCGAUAGUUUAAAGUUUUUGACGAUAAUUUACAUGGAAUUACAGGAUCAGUUACCACUAUCAAUAGAAUCACUUACAAAUAUUAACACGAUCGUGUACCGAUAACAAGACGAUUGUUUACACUAUUCAAUACGAUCACCAAUAUCAUAUGAUCGUGUACCCAUGUCAACACGAUAAUUUAUUUUAAUCAAUAUUAUCAUUUACCGUUGUUAAAUGGUCGUUUAUCACGGUUAAUAGGAUCGUUUAAUGUAUAUUAUUUCAUUGCACGAUCGUUUACUUAUUCUUGCAUUGUGUUUAGUAUUAUCAUUUUGUACAUUUUAUUCUUUUAUUCAGUAAUAAAUGUAUAUCUAUGUCUAUCUAUUUCUUUCUAUCACAAUUAAAUACUUAAUUUUAUUUUAUUUAUUUUUUUUACAGAUUAUAAUGUCUUUUCCUAUUGUUGUUUUUUACGGAGGUCAAUGGAAUGGAUGUAAUAUUUAUGAGAAUUACUUAGUUGCUGAAAUUUUGGUAGGUGUCCGAGUCAGCUUUAAUUCUCUAGUUGAUUUAAUAUGUGAACAGAUUCAAUUGGAUGGAUAAGUAGAAUUAUCUGUUUUACUUGAUUUUGGUAAAAGCAAGGUCCAACUGUGGUGCCAGUAAAGAAAGACAAUGAUGUGGCUUGGUAUUUAUCUUUUGCUAAAGAUGCAACUAAUAUACAUCCAUUAGUUGCUCAUGUAACUGUUGAUUUUUUUAGAAGGUCUUCUUCUUCUUAGAGAACUACCUGUAGCUACCAUGCUUAGUUCAAUUAGAGAUGUAUUGCAAAAGUGGUUUGAUGAAAGAAGUAAAGCUACUUUUACAAUGAAGAGUUGUUUGACUUCUUGGGCUGAGAACGUGUUGCAUUUAGAAUAACAUGAAAAGUCAAGAAUUUUAUUGGUAAGGUUUUUUUUUUUUUUUUUUAAUGUUUGUAUCUCAGGUAGAUAUAAAUAGACUGCUAUUUUUGUCCAUCCGAUAAGAGAUAGAUAGCUAUCAAUGUCUAUUUGUCUCUAUUUGUGCAUGCUUUUUUUUUUUAAUUUUUCUAUAUUUGUUUUAUGUAUUAGGUUGAUCCAAUUAGUAUGACUGAAUAGAAAGUAAUGGAUGAUACAAAAUGAUAAUGUGAUUUAUUUAUAUUGGUUCUAAUUUGAAAUAUUCAAAUUUACUUUGGAAAUUAGUAUAAUUAGUAUAAUAUAUAAUGAUACAUUAUAAUAUAAAGUUUAUAUGUUAAUGAAACUUUAUUAUAUAAAUUUAAUUUUAGAUAAAGUUCAAAAUUAAUUUAUGAGAGAUAAAAUAUUUGAAUGAGUUCAAAUAUUAAUUUAAUGUGGAUUUGUUUCAUAUUAAAACUAUUAAUUAUGAGAUAAAGUUAUAUUUGAAUAUGAUUCAAAUUUAACUUAAGUUAAAUAUAAAAUAUUUAAUUUAGUUAUUAAUUAAUUGAAGAAUUAAUUAAUAGUUUAGUUUAAUAUUAUUUAAUUAAAUUUGAUUUAAUUAAAUUAAUAUAAAACUAUGAGGUAUUGGAGAGAUAUUCAUUCAAUAAGAUUUAAAUGAAAUAUUAAUUAAAUAUGAUUUAAUUAAUUAUUAACUAAUUGAUUAAUGGUUAAUUAGUUAGUUGAUUUGAAACUUCUAUUAAUUUAAUAUUUUUUAAGUUAAUAGAAUCCUAUGAUUUUCUCCUACCCCGUCUCCUACUCAAUGAAAGAAAGAGAGUUAUAAAUAUGUAGAAGAAAAACAGCUUUUCUUAACCAAAAUAAAAUCGAUGAUUUUCUUUUCUGCAAAAUAGAUUGUAACGACCUAAUUUUUCGAAUUAAGCUGAAGUUAUUACUUUAAGACUAGAUUCGUCCUUUAACCAUAAGACUUUAUAAUUUAAAAAAAUAUAUUUUUUAACAACAUUAAAGAGUUUUUAUUCGGGCUCUAUUUCAAAUAAAAUUUUGAAAGUGUAAAAGUAUCGAUAAUAAAGAAAGUUCAAGAACAUAAAAGUCGUUCAAUCAUGAAACCCAAAACAGUCUCAAUUACUAAAGAAAACCAAAAUAAAAAAAUAUAUAAAGUAGAAACAAUUUGAAGGACAUUUCCCUAUGGCAGUUUCGCGGAAAAAGAUUAAACAUAAAAGGGUGAGUAUAAACAUACCCACUAAGAGACCACUACUGAUCCUGUUAGAAGAAAAAUAAAAUUGUUAACUUCCUAUUGGAGGUGCCCUGCACUUUAAAAGUCUUGUGAUCAUGUAGGAAUACACAUAAUCAGUCCAAUGCCCUAAAGGACACAAAUAUUAGUCUAGUGCUCUGCAGAAAGCACAUGUCAGUCUAGUGCUCUCGAAGAAUGCACAUGUCAGUCUAUUGCUCUCGAAGAAUGCACAUGUCAUUCUAGUGCUCUCGAAGAAUGCACAACAGGUGGUGAUCCUGUAGGACACCUGCAAGGCACACUACCCAAUCGACAAAGCUAACAAUUUUCCCUUAGUCCAUUAUAAACAUUUAAUCAAUCCAUUCCUAGUAUAGUCAAACUACUCCAUCAUAUCAUCAAUCCAACUUAACACACUUACGUUCAAUCUAUUCAAUCUAUCACAAAAUCAGUUGAUACUAUAACAACACACCAGACAGUCAAGAUAUAUAUAUAUACAUAACACCUUUCUCAGUUUACAAAUACAUUAUCCAUCGUAUCUACUUGUAUACCAGUAAGUUUACAAACACUAACUGUUGAGUUUCUACAGUAGAUUCUUGAAGAUGUGACUCUUGAACAGAUGGAUUCUCAUGGAUGAUCACAUGUUUGUUAUUUUGAUGGUCAUCAUUCUUGUCCAGACUGUGAUGACUAGAAUCAUCAUGAAGAUCAUCAUACAUGUUGUUAAUAUCAUCAAACAAUUGAUUCUGAUUCUAGUAUAGAAAGAAAAAAGGAUAAUAAAAAAAAAUAGUUACAAAAUGAUCGUGUAUCCUUAAGCAAACAAUCGUGUAGAAUAUCUAAACGGUUGUUUUACCAAGGGUGAUCGAUAUUUUAGAUGGGAUAUGCGAUCGUUCAUAUGUGAUAUGUGAUCGUGUAAAGAUAUAUCAAACCUUUGUUCUGUCAGAAGUCGUGCUAAGAAGAGUUGAAAGCUUGUAAUAAGAUCCAUCAAAACUGAAAGAUUUUACAUCAACACGUUCCUGACACAGUAUUGCAGUAUCAAUGAGCAUCAAAUUACGUGAGAUACGUAUUAGAAAAUAUCUAACUGCUCAGUUAAUUUUUUAUGGACAUCAAAUCACCUUUUUUCAAGCUUAAGGAAGGAAAUGUCGGCACUAUAUAUGUCAGAGUUGUGCAUUGCAAUGGAAGUGCCAACACGAGGUGAUACAUGUGUGUCUUUCUGGGAUGUAAAUGCCACUCCCCGACUAGGACCAACAUAGUCUUAGGGAGAAAGCAUGCUAGGAAUUGGAGUUGUGUCCUCAAUUUCUUCAAGGGACUUGAGCAUUUCUUCUUACACUAGAAUGUCUCUUGUUCAUAGAGUUUAUAGGAUUUCUCAAGGCGGCCAUUUUUGCAUACUUAACAGCUCUUGACAACGGUAGAGAGUCUAACUCUACACUUUCAGGGGGUUCCAACUCCACCACUCGCUGAGCCAAAGAUAGAGACGAAUCAUUAAUGAUCCAGUAAGCAACAUGAAACCUUGUAAUUUUGGGGUCAACGGUAGUCCCUCCCAUUACUAGCUCAACACUCAAACGGAGUCUCCUGUAUAAAAUAUAAAAUAAUACAGACACAAAUAGUGAAUGAAAUCUUGUGACGUAACAAACACAAAUUUUAGGUAUACUGCAAUUUGACUAAAUAUGGAACAAGAAAACCCAAGGGAAUACACAAAAAUCCAACGUUUUUAGGGUCAAUUUGGAAAAUGGCAAAACUACUUUUUCUUUUCAAUUUUAGCAAACAACAUUUUUUGUGCGUGCAUGGUAUUUUAUAAAAUACUAAAAUAUUCACCUUCUCCAACUAUAAUUAUUUCGUUUCUACGUUGUAAUUAAUUUAUGUUAUGCAUUUAUUAGCUUUUAAUUAUUUUUUACCUGAAAAAGAUACAUCCACACACACACGCACAAACGCGCACACGUGAACACUUACUCCCACGCACAAGUAGACACACACACCCAUGCACACGUGGACAUGCGCAUACGCACACACGUACGCACUCGCGCACACGCACGCACACACGCACAUAUGCACAAAGAUUUAUAAAUGAAUUAAAAUUAAAAAAUAACUACAAUAAUUGUGUUUAGAAAGAGUUUUAAACCAUGUUCAUUUGACUUAAUAACAUUGAUUAAAAUAUAAUUUCUAUCAAUAUUGGCUUAAAAGUGUCAUUCGUGUAAUUAUUUCAAUAUAAUGCGGUCUUAUCCAAUUUUACCAACAAAAACAAAUCGAAUAUGGAUCAGUAGAUCUACACUCUUUGUCAUAAGAGACAUAACAACGUUUUUAGGGGUCAUUUUGAAAAAUGACAAAACUACUUUUUCCGUUGAAUUUUAGCAACUAGCAUUUUUUGCACGUGCAUGGUAUUUUAUAAAAUACCAAAAUAUCAACAUUCUUCAACUGUAAUUAUAUUCGUCUCUACAUUGUAAUUAAUUUAUGUUAUGCAUUUCUCAGCUUUUUAAUUAUCUUUUACUUGAAAUAGAUACAUCAACUCAUAUCAUAAUAUUUUUCUUAAUAUCUCGAGACUCAACUAAUUAAUUCAACAUAUUAAUAACUUUAUUCAAUCAUACUAAUUUCAAAAUAACCUAAUUGAAUUUGAAUUUCAAAAUAACAAAAUUGAAUUUCAAAAUAACAAAAUUAUUAUUUUUCGGAAUUUGAGAGUCUCAAUGAUAGACUUUGUAUUAAAAUAACCUUAAUUGAAUUUCAAAAUUAAAAAAUAUCAACCUGUUCACUAUCUUUAUCUCAAAAUAACAUUAAUGCCUUAAAUAUCAAGAUAAUUAAAUUAUUAUUUUAAAAUUGGAAGAAACUCAACAUUAAAAAAUAUUAACUUGUUCGGACACAAGCAUAGAAGCACUGCGCACACACGUACACAUGCACACUUACACACACACGCGCACACGCACACCUACACACAGACACCCACAGACGCACGAACCCACGCACACACACAUGCACAAGUGCACGCAUGCACACACACACCUAUCCACACGCACACAAGCACACACACAUGUACAAACGCACACACGUGUACGCACAAACCUUAUCUCAAAAUAGUUCCUAUUUUUGCUGACAGUUUAUUUUUUGCCAUCGAUAGAGGAUCUUCCAAUAGACCUACGUGACGGUGUGUGUGUUGACAGCUUAAUUUCGUUGGCAAAAGAAAAGUUGAUUAUUUGUCAUCGACAAAGGGUAAAUUUCUUGUAGUGCAUGUACAUCAAACAUAUCAAAUUUGUUAAGUGUACCAAUGAAGUAUAACAAGUUAGUGGUGUAUCACGUGUAUCAAACUUAUAAGUAAAGUCUUUAAGUGUAUCAAACUAAUCAAGUGUAUCAAGGUCUCAGGGGUAUCAAGUGUAUCAAGAAGAAUCAAGUGUAACGAGAAGUAUUAUGUGGAACGAGAAGUAUUAUGUGUAUGAAGAUGUUUCAAGUUUGUAUCAAAAAGUAUCGAGUGUAUCAAUGAGUACCGAGUGCAUGAAUUGUAUCUAUCAAAUGUAUCAAGUGUAUCAGUAAGAAGUAUCAAGUGUAUCAAGGGGUAUUAGGUGUAUCAGACGUGUAUAAGGUGUAUCAAAUAUACAUCAAUAACGAGGGCAUUUGUGACAUUUUACCUCUUGAUGUGUGAGUUGGUCUUUGUUUUUGUCAUUUUCUCAAAUAAUAAAGUAUGUGUUCUAUGGACUUAAUUAUUAUAACUUAUUUUGCCAUUUUCGCAAGUGUCCCUUAAUUGUAAUACAUGUAUAUGUGACAUAAUCUAAUCAAACUAACUCAUAAAUGGACUUAAUGUAUCAAGAGGUAUUAGGUGUAUCAGACAUGUAUAAGGUGUAUCAAAUGUACAUCAAUAACGAGGGCAUUUGUGACAUUUUACCUCUUGAUGUGUGAGUUGGUCUUUGUUUUUGUCACUUUCUCAAAUAAUAAGGUAUGUGUUUUAUGGACUUAAUUAUUAUAACUUAUUUUGCCAUUUUUGCAAGUGUCCCUUAAUUGUAAUACAUGUAUAUGUGACAUAAUAUAAUCAAACUAACUCAUAAAUGGACUUAAUCUAUCUCAUGGACCACGAAUUCUUCAAUUACUUGCAAAUUUGGUGAGUUCCUUCAAAUGGUGGGCGGAGAGCUUAAUUUUGAGAGAGAGGAAAUGUCGUGAAGAGUACUUGCGAGAGAGGGGGGAACGUCGCCAGAGAGCAUUUGCGAGAGAGCUAAAGACAGCGACGAUGUGGGAUGAAGUAAGGUUUUUUUCGAUCAUUGUUCACAAGUGGGAUGAAAGCUUCGAAUUAUUUGUUUUAAAUCAAAAAGCGUAUGAUUGAAGGAAAACAUUGAUUUUUUAUUAGGGUAAUUUUUAAUGACACAUAAUUUAUGCCAUUAUUUACAAUGCCAAAAUUUUGUCAAGAAAACUCAAUUUGUGUCACAAAAAAUUUUGUAUUUUUAUUUUUAACGACACAUUUUAUUCCCUCAUCAUAUCCCUUUUUCUUGAUUUCAAGUGUCAUUAAAACUUAUAUUUCUAAAUAAAUUUAUUCGACGAAAGUGGCUAGAUUGGUGGGUUUGACGGCGAAGGCUUGUUGUGGGAGCAACGACAACAGUGGUUGGAGUGUGGAAUCGACGACGGCAAGUGGCAAAAAAUUGGAGGGCAAGGGUUCUUCAUAACGACUUGGUAGCCCACUUCGAAUUUUUUUGAAAUUUGAGGUUUUUUCAUUUGAAAAUUUUUUUAAUGACAAAAAAAUUGUCGUUAAUUAAUGACGCAAAAAUUGUGUUGAAAUAAAUUAAAUUGUGUCAAUAUGAUUGUUUUAAGAAAUAAUCCAUAUUUUUAUUUUCAACAACACAAUGUACCUCAUCCCACCUCUUUUUUCUUUUAUUUUCAACGACACAAUGUCUUGAUUAAAAUCCAUUUUUCUAGUAGUGACUGAAAAAAAAACUGGACAAAAUCAUAAUAUCUUUGAUAAUUAAAUCACCAGUUGGUUUGAACAUAUAUAAUCUUGGAUCUAUUCUAUUAUGAUAUGACCAUGGUACAUCAUGAACAUACAUUGACUAAAAAACUUAAAUUGAUGAGUGAAUGUAAUAAAUUUAAUACUAAUUAUAUGAUCAAUACUUUACACAUGUAUAUUGGUAUAUCAGUCAAUAACAGUAGUAAGACAAAUUAUAAAAUAUAAGGGAUAAAAGUCCUACACAUGCAUGUAUGGUAUACUCUCUUGAUAGCAAAAUGCAUUUAUGUCAACUCAUGUUUGAAUGCAUUUAUGUAGGAAAUUCAAUAAAAUAAUUAAGAAACCUUGCAAUAUGUGAGAGAUAUACGAACUUCAAACAAAUUUUACAAGUUUCAGCAAAAAUUUUGAAACAACUUUUAAAGUUUAAGCAAAAAGUAACCGUAGGUAGAAAGGGGAGCAAAAGUGGGGUCUCGAAUUAAUUAUGAAAAAUUAGUAGGCUUUCAAAAUUUAGGUUCUAGAAGUAGAAUUAUUGCAGAAAAAUAAAUAAUUGCAUCAUUCAAAUUGAAUCAAACAUAUCAGGAUGUUAUAUUCUCCACAACGUAUAAUGGAGUAUAAACAUAAAGUUUCUAUAUACAAAGCUAUGUAUCUCUACCCUUGACUUCUCUUUCUCUCUUUCUACCUUUUUUAUCCUUUCUUUCUCCCAUUCACUCAAUACACUUGCAAGAACCUUCAUUUUUUUUGUAUUUAAAUUUUCUUGGCACCAUCCUUUUUUUAAUUAUCAAGGCUUUGUUAUUGUGUACCAGUAUUGUGUCGUGCCUCCUUCACUUCUCAUCAUCAUUUUCAUGUCACAUCUCUACCUUGUCAAUUUUCGUUUUUCACUCAGCUUUCUUUCUUCUUUUGUCUUCACUACUUUCUUCGCUCCUUCUUCUCAAGCUCUAACUUUUGCUAUUAUCAACCAGUCUCAAAUGACCAUUGGAAAACCUAUCGCCCACUGAGAGGCAGCCAAUAUAGUAAUGCCUCUAAUGAUAAACUCCAAUGAAAUCAAAAGUUCUUCUUUAAGAUUUGGAAAAAUAUAUUAGAUAAACUCGGACGUGGUGAACGCGGUGAACGCAGACGUGGUGAACGCGGACGGACGGACGGUGAACACGGCAGAAGUUAGAGAUCCUCAGAGAGAACUUGGCAUUUUCGAAUGCGGUAGAGACAAGUCUAGGGCUUCGAAGGAUUCUUCUUUCUAUCCAAACAGUCCAAAGUAAGCCAGUUAUGGAGGAGGAAUACACAUUAGAGAGCUCAGUUAUGGAUGGAGGAAUACACAACUUUUUCUCAUGGUCAUUUUCCUCGUGGGCAUUCUCUUCAUGUUUCUUCUUAUUCCGACUAAAAUACAAGCACAAAUUAUUCUUCGCCUUCGUAUAGGUUUGUUUGAAGAAGAUUAAAAAAGUCCUUAAUUUAUCUCGACACUUCCAAAACCAGAAUAUAAUACCCGUGCUACAUAAAUCCCUCUUUCCAAAUAGUCGAACAUGAACUAUCCAUGCAUAUCUUGGAAUAAACAAGAGAAACCCUAACUAAACCCAAAUAGAAAAUACGCUGCAAUCUAAAAUAUACUUAAAGAAACAAAAAGAAGUUUUAAUGCUGUGGGUUUUUACUGAUCUUCUUCAACAACAAAAUAACUCAACGCCACAGUUCAAUUUUUCCUUCCACGAAUUGGGUUUUUAAAGAGUUUUCACCGCGAAUUUAUCUUUUUUGGUUCGACAAGUAACAACAUGUGAAUCCCCAAAUGCAAGGUUUUAUUAAAAAAUAAAAAUAUAAUUUUUUAAAAAAAUUAUAAUACCUAAUUUUUUUUAUAUAUUUAUAACCUAAUUUUCUGUCAUUGCAUACUUGAGAGAAAUAUAUUUUUCAAUUAGCAUAAUAACCUUUAUAUAGUAAAUUAAAUUUGUAGAAUGAGAAAAGACCUUAGAUCCAAAAAAGUUAUUUAUUUAUUAUUGGAGUGAAUUGUCUAAUUAAUGUAGUUAAUGGAUGGUUUUGUAACCAUAAAAAAAUAAUGAAAAUAAUUUUCUAAAAGAAUGAAUGAAAAUUUGGAAAGUUAAAAGGUUUUAGGAAUUAAAAAAAAGGGUGUAACAUUAUAAAAGACUACCAAAUAUACUGUAAGAGACAUGCAUUAAAGGAGCUGAGGCAUGCAUACUACCAAAUAUACUAUAAAUAAACCAGAAUUCUUUUUUAAGAAAUUAAACAACUAAUUAAAUAUAAAGAAGAAAGAUUAGAAAAUGAAUGAUCAAACAAACUAUGACUCAUUUAUUUUUGACAGGUUCGACCAGUAUCACCUGACAAUUCAUUUUCACCAAGAGAAUAAACAUGAGUAGCCUUGGAAUCAAGUUCCUCCGAUAAAAGCCACGGAGUUGAUGGGUUAGAGACAGAACCAGAAUUUGAGUUCAACGAUGUGGAUGGAAAAUUCUGAAACUAGCAGCAACAGGAAGUUAAGAUAACGAAUUAUUUUCAAUAUAGAAAGGCUAAUUGUAAGAAGUUGUUAAUGAAGUGUCCAAAUGCAUUAUGGUAAUAUUGGGUGCAGAUUGUUUGGAAGUUUUAUCCGUGUGCUGUGAAGCACCACAGAGUUGAAGCAUAUGAAACCAGUGUUUAUCUGACAAAAAAUAGUGUCAUGAUCAUUGCCUUUCCAUUCCAUAAAUUUAUGGAUAGCAGAAGAAAGAGAACUCUCAACACAUGAAUCACCAUAAAGACACACAUGACAACAUUAUUUUGGAUGAAGUUCUAAUAUUGCAACCAUGGAGGAAAAAUCAGCAAAUCUUAAAUAGAUGUAGUAGUCCAAAUGAUAAAAGUUUGUCUCAAGAUAAUAUUUCAGUAACUGCAGAUGCAUUGUGCUGAACCUAACCUCUUGUGUUUCACGGUAAUGAACAAGGACAAUGUGUUCAAAGGUCCUGAACAAAAAGCAGAAGCAAGUCAUAAAUUAUAUAAGUAGAACACGAUAUACUGCCACUGUCUAAUUUCAUUUUUCUUUGCUUGUGGCAUGAUGGGGAUAGACCCCACUGAAACAACUGGUAGCAAGCAAUUUAACAAUUUUCUUUCAACCAUAACAUACUUAUCUAGGAGCCAAUAACACCGGCGAACAAAGGUUGGGCUAUCUAGUCCGUGGGCAUAGUAUACAUGUAUCCUUUCUACAUUACCAACCUGCUGAAGAGAAAGAAAAGAUUAUCAAAGCACACAUUUCCUUGGUUAUUAAGGCUGUAAAAGAAUGAAAAUUACCAUAAAUCUAAACAUAGUUAAUAUUAGACCAUUGAACAACCUAUAGAUUCAAAAGGAAAGACUCAAACCACCAAUAGACUGGUUAAUCAUUUAAAAUGAUCUCCAACAACAUGAUACGCAGUAUAUCGUGCUAGAUCCAUAAUUACCACAUGUGGACUCCUAUGGUAAUUUCAUUGAUGAUACGCAGCUAGUAGGCAAGAUUAUGAAAUGAAGACGGUAUGUGAGACGAUUGAAAAGAUCAAGAUGAUAAAAUUAUAGGGAUUUGAAUUUAUAUCUUAAGAACACCAGAGUCAAAUGCUUAAGAUGAUUAACUGUGUUAAAUUUAACUCUAUAAUAUAUAAAUUAUUAGCAAAAACAGUAGAAAUUACUUCAAAUUUGUAGAGAGAACAUAUAAAUUAUAUUCUAGAGAAAGAGCAUCUGAAUUAUAUUCUACAGAAACACGAGCCCAUAGCAUAUCUACUGAGUAGCAAUGACAGUGAAAAAGGGAAUAGUAAGUAACUAAUCUCAUAAACCCCUUUCUCACAUCUAACCAAGUUCUUUCACAACAUGCAAAAGCAUCAAAAUAUUUAAGAAAACUUCCAAUAUUGCAUUUGGAACUCAUUGAUUGACUUCAACGUUUAAGAGUCAUAAAAGACACAGCUUACUUUCUCACCUGUCACCACUAAGCCUAUGGCAACAUCUUUUUAUAAGAUAUUCAGCUAAUCUUUAGAUUGUUUACCGAAUAAUCGUCUAUUGUUUUGUAAUUGAUCCACCAAGCGCUUGCGCCACCUUGAAGUUUGAGAGCAACUAAUCGAACCUUCUUGUGUUCGGGUGUAUUGGCAUAGUCGAAAAAAUUUUCUACGUUCUUGAUCCAAUCAAGAAACUUCUCCACGUCCAUUUGACCAUUGAAGGUAGGGAGAUCCACUUUCAUACGUAUUUCUUGAUCUUCUUGAAAGUAUGGUCGAAGUCCAAGCCUUUGUUGAGGUUCUUGAUGAAUGUUCAGCAAGUUGUCUUCAUCGGAAGAGUCAGAAUCGUUUAAGAAAUUUCCAAGUACGUUGUUUCCAUACAAUCGAUUAUUGUGGAUGUGAAUAGGUUGAUUUCUUAGUAGUUCUUGGUUUACAACAGGGUUUAUUGGUUUUUCUUGUCUUUCUUGGUUUGCUGCAAUUGGGUUUCUUGGGGGCUGAAUUGCUUCUUCUAAAGGUUGGACAUGAAAUCGGGUAAAAAGGUUUGUUAAUUCUACUAACGAUUGCUGUAUAUUCGACUGCCCUUUUCGAAGUUCUUCAAUAGCUUGUUCUACCAACUGCAAGCGUUGGUUGAAGGAGGCUUCCGCGUCCAUGGAUAAGAGUGGUAGGAUCCAAGUUUUUUUAGGGAAGAGUGAGCUAGGAUCACGCUCUGAUACCAAUUGAUGCAGUAAUUGCAAAGCUAGAAAUCUUUAUGUAUAAUGCCUCUUUUUUUAUGUCUUAUUAAUGAAAAUGAGAAGCUUUUUUAUAGGCUGGAGAUUACAAGAGUUGUUAAACUAACUUGGGGUUGAGUUAGUUUAACUUGGAGUUGAGUUAGUUAUAACUAACUCAAGAUACAAAAUUGGUAAUUCAAAUAACUAAUCCUAAACUAUAAAAAUGGUAAUUCAAACCCCUCCUCUAGGAUAAAACUCAAGAAACAUCAAGAAGGGAGAUGUUCUACAUCAAAGUGUAGAGAACGAUUCAAAAUCCUUGGUGAAAGGAAUGAAUGUUAACUAAUGUGUGUUUAUGUGAAAUUGUUAUGUUAUGAGUAUGUUAAGGAUAAAGAAAGGUUUAUGCGAGAUAAAAUUAUUUGAUGUUGUUUAUGCGAAAUGAUGUUUAUGAAAAGGUAUUGCGAAAAGGAUUUCAUAAAACCUUAGUCUUUUAGACAUUCUUUCAAAAAUUCAUCUUCCAAGAUGAGGUGUUUAGGCCAAGUAGAGAAGAAGGUUGAAGGAUUUGCAGCGAGAUGACCAGACGUUUUGAAAAUAGUUAAGCAUUGGUUGUUUGGUCAAAGUGUUGUAAUUAUGUAUCAAACACAUGUUAUUAAUAAACAUCUUGGUAGGUAUUUAUUAUACUUGCACGCCUACUCUCACAUUUAGCCAUAUGUUGUACUUUGUUUUCCACCUUGACUUUUAAUGACACACAAACCAACUUUCCAAGGAAUUCCCUUUCAUUUUCCUAUUAACUCAUAUUCUCUUUUUUUAUCAAGUCCUUGCUAGAGAAAGUGGACUUUGAGUUGUUGGACUUUAGUAUUGCAUGGACAUACAAUUUUGAAUGAAAAAUCCUUAUAAAUGGGGCCUUUGAACUCAUUUGAUGGGUUGGCUAUUAUAUUUGGGCUUUCACACCAAAUGGAAUUUCUUUUUCUUAUUUACUUAAAAAAAAAAGAAAAUUUACCACGCCCAUUUUUUUUCAUCUAUUUCUCUCGUCCGGUUCUUUCAUCCAACGGGUCCCACAACUCGAUUAUGAGUCUAGAGGAUACUAAGUCAAACUUAGUGGUUGUUCGAAUAAAACGCAGCUUCAAAUGUAAGUAUUCUAAAAACCUUAUUUUUUGGUUUAGUCUCGUUAACUAAGCCCAAUUAGGGUAGAAUUUCGAUUCUUUUUCUGUUGUGCAUGUCUUAGUUCUAUCAGUAACUCCUUUCAGGGUGAUAGCUCUCAUCAGCAGACUUUCCAUUGCUGGUUUCUUCCUUAGUCAUCAUUGUAUUGUUGUUUUCCACAAUAGAUAGGGUGAGUUGCAGUUUUACAUGAAAUGCACUGCUCAACCCACACUCUUUUCUCACUAGUUCCUUAUUCUCAAUCUUCAACGCAAAUUUCAUCAUCUGGGCCAACCCAAUCGGUUCCACGGUUUCCACUUCCAUUUUUAUUCAUGGGCUAAGCCCAAUCAUCAAAGUCUCCUCUAACACUACCGUUUGAAGAAAUGCUACCAGAGCUAAAUAUCGAUCAAAUCGGUUGCGGUAUUCUUCUACAUUCAUUUUCUGUUUGAUUGAGAAAAAUCUUCCAACCAAAGUUCCUUCUCGAAUUGAUCGAAACUGUACAAGCAUUCGUUCUUUCAGGUCAGCCCAAUUCUUAAAAACUUCCAACUCUUCUUGUGCUUGGUACCAAUCCAAUGCCAGAUCAUCAAAACUAAUAACGCCUGUGGUUAAUUUCUCUGAAUCGGUAAGAUCAUGUAUCUUAAAGAAGCGAUAGGCUCUAAAUGUGAGACCCAUUUCUAAUUUGAGUAAUGAAGUAAAAUUUGGCUAGGUAUUAAGAAUUUGGCGUUUGAAUAAAUCAACGAAAAGGAUUAAGCGAUAAAAAAAUUUAUGGUUAAGUAUACGUUAUUGCGAUUCAGUGGGUAGUUCGCGAAGGAAGUUGUGCGACCCAUUUCUAAUUUGAGUAAGGAAGUAAAAUUCGGCUAAGAAUUAAGAAGUUGGUGUUCAAAUAAAUCCAUGGAAAGAUUAAGUGAUAAGAUCUUUUACGGUUAAGUAUACUUUUUUGCGAUAAGUGGGUAGUUCGCGAAAGAAGUUGUGCGAUAAUGUAACACCCCGAACUCUAAGGUAAUUAAUUUAAUCGGACCAUUCGAUAUUUUUACUCUUAAUUUUUGUUCGACGUCAUUUUGUUGUUUUGUCUUAAAAAAAAAAAGUGUUGGAAAAGUCUUUCAUAAUAAUAAUAUAUUAUUAUUAUUAUUAUUAAUUAGCAUAAAAAAAAAGGAAAAGAAAAAGAAAUUAAAAUAUCUUUUUCCUCUCUCCCCUCUCUCACGCGUGCGACACCCCUCUCUCCAUCUUUUUCUUCUUCUCUUUCCUGUACCCUAACCCAGCCGACCAUCAUCUUCUCCCUUCCCUUGCCGUUCAGAUCCAUGGCCUCCGCCCACCGCCACGUGACCCUCUGCCCAGCCCCGCCGCGUGACCUCUGUCUCCGUCGAAGCCAAGUCCAGCCGUCGUC
rnacentral:lncRNA from 1 species